CGGCCGCCGAAAGUCAAGUUCGGCCGCCGAACAUGCAUGCGUUUUGGAGGCACGUUAGGCCCCCGAAAGCAUGAGUGACGGAAGUCCAGGUUCGGCCGCCGAAACUCAAGUUCGGCCGCCGAACAUGGCAUGCAUACGGAAGCACUUUCGGCCCCCGAACGUGGCCUGGCCAGCCACCUAUAAAAGGGUCACUUGGCCGAAAUGGGCGAGCUUUCUCCCAUUUUCGACCACAGCUAGCUUCCGACCUCCCUCUUCCAAAUCUAGUGUUCUUCCUUCAAAUCCCCACCAUUUUUCUUGAGUUUUAAGCUUGCAUUGAAGGUUUUGAACUUUUGAAACAAGUUUUGGAGCUUUGGGAACUCAAGAGCUCAUUUUCGUGGAUCUCCUAGUUUAGGUCGUCUCCCUCUCGAUCUUCAAGAGGUAAGAGCCGAUCUUAAGCUCCUUAUGUGUUUUAAAUAAGUUUUAUGCAAGAUCUAUGGGUAGAAAUGCAUGUUAGGUUAUAUGUUGAGUUAUGGGUUAAUAUUGAUGUUUUGAACAAUGUGUGUUGUUUGUGUGUGUUUGAAGUGUUGUAGUUGGGGUAUAUGACUGUUUGAGACCCCUAGGAACUUGUAUGCAUGUCCUAGUUGAGCCUUAUGCAUGAUUUGAGGUUUUGGGAGGCAAGAGGCUCAUGUGAGCCAAGUUUCUGCCCUUUUGGGAGAAACCAGGUUCGGCAGCCGAAGGAACUUUCGGCCGCCGAACCCNNNNNNNNNNNNNNNNNNNNNNNNNNNNNNNNNNNNNNNNNNNNNNNNNNNNNNNNNNNNNNNNNNNNNNNNNNNNNNNNNNNNNNNNNNNNNNNNNNNNNNNNNNNNNNNNNNNNNNNNNNNNNNNNNNNNNNNNNNNNNNNNNNNNNNNNNNNNNNNNNNNNNNNNNNNNNNNNNNNNNNNNNNNNNNNNNNNNNNNNNNNNNNNNNNNNNNNNNNNNNNNNNNNNNNNNNNNNNNNNNNNNNNNNNNNNNNNNNNNNNNNNNNNNNNNNNNNNNNNNNNNNNNNNNNNNNNNNNNNNNNNNNNNNNNNNNNNNNNNNNNNNNNNNNNNNNNNNNNNNNNNNNNNNNNNNNNNNNNNNNNNNNNNNNNNNNNNNNNNNNNNNNNNNNNNNNNNNNNNNNNNNNNNNNAGCCAAAGGUGAGUAGAAUAAACUCUAAAGUUUUAAAUUAAUGAAAUAUAGAAUUUUGAGCAUGUUCAUACAUCAUAUAUGCCAUGUGAUAUUCUAGGUUGUUUGCAUUAGAAAUUCACGAAUAUGAUGCAUUGCAUAUUAUGUUGUUGAUGUGGGUAAAUGCUGGAUGAUCCACUAGUUCCUGGUAGGAAGACCAGGGAGCCUUUGACUAUGCCCCUGGCACAAUGAGAAAGAAAGACCAGGGAGCCUUUGACUACGCCCCUGGCACCAUGGGAUGCCAAGACCAAGUGCCUAAUAAGGCCUUGGGGCAUUGUAAGUUAUGUUAUGUUUACAGGAAGUCCAGUGAGCCUUUGACUACGCCGCUGGCAAUAGUUAUGACGAUGGGACUAGUUGGUGACAGGUUUACCCUUGAUGUGGCUUGUUUGUGAUGUGACGCAUUUCAUGAAAGUAUGAAUUUAAAAUGUAAUGUUUUAUUAUUCUGCUCACUGGGCUCUUGUAGCUCACCCCUUUCCCUUAACCCCCAGGUGUGCAGGUAUAGGGUAGACCAGGAGGUCAGCAAGAGUAAAGAUGAGUUCAUGUAAUAGUUUAGAUGUGGACAUGAGAUCUAUGAUGAUGUAAUGUAAGAGUAUUGUAUAGUUAUGUUAUGUAAUGAUGAGGUUUAGAAGUGUGCUUGACCCUAGUUGUGCAAUCCCUUUUAAAAUGCAUGAUCUUUUAUGAGAAAUGAUGUUAUGGUUCAACCAAGCUUAAUGUACGAUGAGUUACCCCAUUGGAGCAUUUGAUGAGGACUCCAGUGGAGGUUUAUGUUUUUGUAUAUGAUUAUGUGUAGGUUGAGCUUGGUUGAUGUAUGAGAAAGUUUACAGGUUUAUGAGUAUUGUUGAUCAUGUAUGGGAUUAAACAGGUUUACAGGUUAUAUGUCAGGCUUGCUACGGGUCCCGGCGGCCUUAAGCCGAUCUGGAUCCUAGCGCCGGUAGCGGUCCGAUUUUCGGGUCGUUACAGGAGCUUAAUCUUUGAUUAAUCUUUUAAAAUCCUUUAUUAUUCAAUCUCAUAGCAAAAAAGUUGAAACACUUUAGGAUUUGGCCAUUUGAAACUAAAAGGUAAGGAAAAUUUGAGAAAAAGACUUGAGCUUAUCUCUACCCGAAAUGGAGAUAAAUUCUCUCUCUCUUUCAAGCUAACAAGUAUUUAUAGGUAGACUGUAAAAGUCAUCUUUGGAGGUAGAACUUGAAGUUUCAACAGUCAAACCUUAAAACUCUUCUAAAAUAUUUUUUAAAAAACACAUUUUAAAAUACUUAAAAUUCAUUUUAUUAAAACUCAUUUUACCAUUCUAAAGUUUUUAGUUCCAAGAUUUCAAAUUACAACGGAGCUUCUGUCAGAAAGUUGCAAUUCCAACACUAGAGUUUAGCCAGGUAUUACAGAUACUAUCUAAUGCUACAUAAUAAUCGCCCAAAAUAAGCCAUGAGCUGUCACCACAAGAUAGGGUCACGUGGCAAGAAUCUGAUAAGUGGAAAACGCGGUCCCACCUGAGAAAAUGAAGACUCGAACACCUCAAACACUCGAUCUAUGAUUAAGAGUCGCCCUUCCCUGGAUAGGACGAGCCUUGGUAUAAAGUUAUCGUUAUCAGACACAGUACAACAUAUUCCCAUUAUAUAUGUAAUCGCGGAUCACUGAUCUAUUAGCUAGCGAUAUCCUUUAUCAAGCAGCCGAUCACAUCACCAUCAGAUUAUUAAAAAAUGCUAUAUUUAUCUGCACACUCUUACAGUAUAAAAGGUGAAGGACCACAGAGGCAAAGGUAUGCUAUUCUCUUACACUACUCAAGUUCUAAGUAAUUCAUUGCUGUAAUACCCGGCUGAACUCCGGUAUCGAAAUUCCUACCAUCCGGUGGAAUCUCGGAUGUCGGAAACCUCUAGAAGGGUAAAAUCAUGUUUUUAUAAAAUGUUUUCAUGUAUUUUAUGGUUUUAAAUAAGAUAGAAACUGAGUUUUGAAUGAAAAAGACCAUGGAGGCAUUUCCAGGUUUGGCCGCCAAACCUCAAGUUCGGCCAGCGAACAUGGGAUAGUUUAGGGAGGCAAGUUAGGCUUUCGAAAGUGGCUCAGGUUCGGCCGCCGAACUUGCAUGAGUUUUGGAGGCACUUUAGGCUUCCAAAGGUGGUAUGGCCGCCAAAAGUACCGCCAAAGGUGUAUGACUUUCGGCUCUGGAGGGACUUUCGGCCGCCGAACCUGCCGCCGAAAGUGCCCUGUUCAGCCUUCCUUUGCAUGAUUUCUAUGAUUGUUUUAAGGUGUUUUAGGGGAUUUUUGGGGAGUAUUUUAGAGUCAUGUUCAUAUAUGUUUGGUCCCUCAUUAGAGUCCACCUGUGUAGGUUCGGACCAGAGAAACCGAGGACCCCAGCAGUGAGACAGCUGCUUUAGUGUCUUGUCAGAGCUAGCCUGAGGUGAGUAGAAUGACUCUUUACGUUUCAAAGCAAAUAAUGAAAGUUUUAGCAUGAUUCACGCAUCAUGAAUGCCAUGAGAUACAUUAGGUUGUUUGCAUUAGAAUUCACGAAUAUGUUGCAUUGCAUAUUAUGUUGUUGAUGUGGAUGAAUAUUGGAUGAUCCAUUAGCCCUUGUAUGAUAUGAUAUGGUAUGAUGAUGAUAUGGUACGGAAGUCCUAGAAGACCCAUUCUACGUCCCUGGCACUAUGUAAGAGAAAGUCCAGGAAGACCCAUUCUACGUCCCUGGCAUAUUGGAAUGUUAUGAUAUGUUAUGUAAGAGAAAGUCCAGGAAGACCCAUUCUACGUCCCUGGCACUAUUGGAUAUGUUAAGGGCUAUUGGUGACAAGUUCAUUCUUAAUGUGAUUUGUUUGUGAUAUGAUGCAUUCCAUGAAAGCAUGAACUUUAAAUAUAAUGUUUUAUUAUUCUACUCACUGGACUUUAGUAGCUCACCCCAUUCCCUUAAUCCCCCAGGUUGCAGGUACGGGAUAGAAUCAGGAGGUCAGCAAGAAUAAGAAGUCAUGUUUUAUGUAAUAGCUAAAUGUGGACAUGAGAAUGAUGUAAUGUAAAGUAUAGUUCAGUAAUGUAAUGUAAUGAUAUUUAUUGAGGCUUAGAGUUGUGCUUGACCCUAGUAUGUUGGUUAAUCCCUUUGUACAUGGUUCAUAAAAUGUUUUAUCAUUGUUUAUGUAAACCAAACUUAUUACAUGAUAUGUUAUCCCAUUGGAGUAUUUGUUGAGGGCUCCAGUGUGGGGUUUAUGAUUAUAAGUUGUGCAUGCGCAGGUUAAGUUUGGUAAAUGAAAGAGAAAGUUCAAAAUUUUAUGUAUAUAUUUGAUCAUGUAUGGGAUUAAGCAGGUAUACAGGUUGUAUGUGAGGCUUGCUAUGGGUCCCGGCGGCCUUAUGCCGAUCUGGAUCCUAGCGCCGGUAGCGGUCUGAUUUUCGGGUCGUUACAAUUGCAUUCACCUCAUUCUUCAGUAUACUGACUUGAGCGUCGGAGUGGCUGCUGUGGGCACCCACCACCUCCUCACGUUCUCUUUCUUGCAAGUCUAGCCAAUCAUAGAAUAGCUCUGUUUUUUUACCACAUCAUUUGGUUUCGCUGCUGGAAAACCUAUUGAAUCCUCCUUAUUUAUUUAGAUUACGAUCCAUUUCUUACUUUUUCUCUUGAAACAGGAAUCUCUCCCUUUUCUCUCACAAAAUGGAUGGUAGUUCAUGAAAAUAAUCUAAACAACAAGCAAAUGCUUUGAUAUAUCUAAAGGUUCCCUCGAACAGUAUAAGACUCGGGGGAGGCAUCAAACAUGGCUCCUAGAAAAAGAGAGGAAGCAUCCGUAGACACUCAAAGGCUUGGACAUAAGUGUUCAAAAUGCGGCCUAAAGGAAAGGAUGAGUUUGAAGAUGAAUCAAACGAAGCUCCAAAAGGCAUCGAUUGAAAACUGGUAUGAGCCGUGUAAAGGUACCAAAGGGAACAAGAGGAGCACUUUGACCUAGACAAUACCUCGCCUCUUUCGAAAGAAAUCUUAGUGGAAACGUUACCAACCAAGUUCAAGCUACCUAGCUUGGAUAAGUAUGAUGGAAUAAUAGAUUCCAGAAGUCACCUAUCGAUCUUCAGGACAACCAUGCAGUUUCAAGAUGUUAAUGAUUUCAUGUUAUAUUGAGUGUUUCCAUCAACACUCACAGUUUGACUCAGAAAUGGUACCAACAUUUGAGUCUAGAUUUAAUUUAAAACUUUACUCAGUUUUCCACGUUAUUUAAAUAUAGAUUUAUUACUUGUAUACCUCCUAAAAAUCUUUCCUCUGACUUGUGAAAAAUUUACCAAGAAAAGGGCGAGUCUUUAAGGAGUUUUAUCUCAAGGUUCAAUGUUGAGGCAAUACAGGUGAAAGAAUUAAAUCACGAGAUAGCAUGUGAAUCAUUGGAGAAAGGAAUGCAUAAUAUCAAAUUCAUGGAUUUCUUAAUUAAAAGCCCAACUGUGACAUAUCAACAGUUAAUGGACAAAAGUAAGUAUAAGAAUUAUACUCCAUUGAAUGACUCACAGACACGUAUUUUGACAUAGAUUUAGAAAAAUGACAAGAAAAUCAGGUGGCCACCCAAGCUCAAUCCUGAGAAAGUGGAGAAACGAGACAAAACCAAGUACUUCCAUUUCCAUGAAGAUCACGAUCAUAUGACAGAAGAGUAUCGGUAAAUAAAAGAUGAGAUCGAGAGGCUAAUAAGGGAUGGUCCUCUUUAGAAGUUCACCAAGAAGAGAAAGAAAGAGAGGAGACUUGAAUCCGAGACAACAACUCUCAAAACCACCCCUGAUCCAGAGCUUGUAGGGAUUAUUCAUGUAAUAAUGGAAGGACUGAGGAAUGAUCAGGGAAAAUAAGUAGAUUAUAGAUGUAAUUGCCGGUCUAGUAAGUUGGGCAAGAACUGAAAAAGACCAUUCGAAGGUCAUUCACCCAGAGUCCUGUAAGUUGGCUAGACUAGAUGGCCGAGUGAUUCCCCACUCCCAAGAUAUUUGUAAUAUGAAAACAUUUUAUCAAUAACAAGUUAAUGAGAUAUUUUUUCAUAUAUGGUAUUAUUCAGUGAUAAGAAACGAUGGGAUUGCCUUCCUAAAAUAAUAUUAAGGAGACAAGAAGAGGCCACAAGGCGGGUUCUGUCAAGGUAGGUCACAAGGCGGGUUUCGCCAGACCACAAUUCAGGUAUUGGUCCUACUAAGCAAGGCCACAGGCGAGUUCUGCCAGGCCAUAUCACAAGGCGGAUUCCGCUAGACUACAAUCCGGGCGUUAAUCCCACUGAACAAGGCCAUAAGGCGGGUUCUGCCAGCGAAGUCACAAGGCAAAUUUUGCUAAACCAUAAUCCGGGCGUUGGUCCCAUUAAGCAAGGCCACAACGUGGAUUUUGCUAGGCUAGGUCACAAGGUGGGUUUCGCCAGACCACAAUCCCAGCGUUAGUCACACUAAGCAAGGCCACAAGGUGAGUUCCGCUAGACUAGGUCACAAGGCAUGUUCUGCCAAACCACAAUCCGGGCGUGGGUCCCACUAAACAAGGCCAUAAGGUGAGUUUCCUAGGCCAGAUCACAAGGCGAGUUUCACCAGACCACGAUCUAGGCGUUGCACUAAACAAAGCCACAAUGCGGGUUCCGCUAGACUAGAAGACUAGGUGUUGGUCCCACUAUUAAAAGCCAUCAUAAGGAGUAACAAGGGGGGUCUCACCAGGUGCUAAUCCCCUAUAAGAAGUUCUAAGGCAUGUCCAAGGGCAUAGGGUGAGUAUGAUCCAAGCCAAAACAUUGGUUGUUGGUCCCACUAAUCGAGGCCUUAUUGUCAGGCUACGAGACAGGUUUCGCCAGACUCAAAUACUGGGUGAUAGCCCCAUAUAAGGCUUGUGAGGCAUUCAAAGCCCAAGCCAUAGGGUGGGUGUUCAUGGACGAGUACUAGCCUUAGGAUUAUAAGAAAUCCUAUAAGGUAUGCCAGACUGACGAGUGUUGAAUCCGUUAAUUUAAAAUUUACUUCCCUUUUCCUGAUUGAUAAGAACUUGUAGAUAGGGUAAGUGAGUAUCAAUCCCACAGAGACCUUAAUCCUGUUUAAUUUAGAUGACCAAUUUGAAAUAGAAGAGAGUUUAAUACAAAAAGUGAGAAGAAGAGAGCUUUUUGAUAAAAGUGAUAUUACCUUGGGCAAGCCAAAAAAAUAAACUUAAAAGAAAAAUAAUAAAUAAUGCAAUUGAAAUUUAAAAAAUAAAUAAUUAAUUAAAACUUUCAGCUGAAGGUAAUCAAUUUGAGGCAUUUUGCAGUUGAUCAUUGGUUAGAAAAAAAAUAUUUCAUAUUAUUAUCUAUUGUUUGGUUAUAGUGGUCAAACACGUGAAUCCCACCAGUUCUUUCUUAUGAAUAAAUUAAUCUGCUUUGCGCUUAAAUUAAUUCUUAGUUAACUACCAACCUCAACACGCAUGUAGAUUUAAUUAGUCAACUGCAUUAAGAGAGAAGAACCCAAACUUGAUUAAUAAAAACAUGCGUUUUAUUUAAAUCAAAUCUACUAAUUUCUUAAUAUAAACUAAUAUAUUAAUUACUACUUAUUAUUAACCCAAUUAAACAAUUACGGAUUUAAUUAGAUUAAUUAGCAAUAUGUUGUCUUUCCAAGAGAUUCAAUGGGCCCUUUGAAUUCUCAAGAAAAUAACAAUGGAGGUGGUGUUCAUCGAAUUCAGAAAUUAAUAGAAAAUAGAAAUAAGAUGAAGAGAGUUGUAGUGCAUAACCUCACAACUUGAACAAACCUCAAAUUAAUUUAACCUUCAACUGAAAAUAAAUGUUUAGCCACUCAUGGCCAUAAUAAAAUUAUAACAACUAAGCAAAAGAAGAAGAAAAAGAAAAGAAGAUGGAGAAGAAGGUGAGGGGCAGCAAGAGAGGAAAUGAGAGUGAGAGGUAGAAUAUGAUUCCUAGGUCUAAUGCUAGGAGCCUUUAUAUAGGCACAAAAAGAUACAAUUUAAAAUAAAAUCUAUUAUUCCUAUCUUAUUUCUAUUCUAAUCAUAUCUCUAUCCUAAUCUUAUCUUUAUCCUCAUCUGAUUGAGUUUGAUUCAAUUUGACUCCACUUGAAACUAAUCUGGAAAUUGAUCUUAUUCUUGCUUAGGUGGCAAAAUCUAUUUUAUCUCUCCAUCGCUUUAAGUUACAGGUUUGAUCAAGGUUGUAGCCUCCCAGUAUAAAAAAUCUUUUAAUUCAGCAUUUUUUCUUCCUUUUCUCAACUUCUGCUCACAAACCUGUCCAAAAUUAAAUUCAAAUUAAAAUUAAAUAUUUAUCUCAAAAUUAUAGUAAAAUCAUGGAAUUAAAUGGGAACAAAAUUAUGAGUUUUGCAACUCAUCACAGACCUGAGGCGGGCAUUCGCUAGGCCAUAUAUCCGGGUGUUAUUUCCACUUAUCAAAGGCUUUCAAGCUAUUUAUUUUCACUAUGGUGGAUGAGUGUUAACCCUUAGCAAUUUUUUAAGAAUUUGUGUAACAGCCCGGCCCUUUCACAGGCACUGUUACCGUUCACGGCCCAGGGCUAUCCCUCGCUUGGCCUCGUGCCACCUCGGGCUUUCCACUGGCGUCGUGAACAGCUUUUAACAUCCAUUCACCCUCACGGGUUCCUGGCAGGAUUUGUCCCCUUGGGUUCUUGCAUCGCAUCCUUCCCCAAGUGGAUUUGGCCUAAAUUUCCCUUUGGAAAGGGUUCGAGUAGUGGGGGAGGCGACCUAAUUUUCAAAGGGAAAUUUGGGCCAAAUCCACUUGGGGAAGGAUGCGAUGCAAGAACCCAAGGGGACAAAUCCUGCCAGAAACCCGUGAGGGUGAAUGGAUGUUAAAAGCUGUUCACGACGCCAGUGGAAAGCCCGAGGUGGCGAGGCCAGGCGAGGGAUAGCCCUGGGCCGUGAACGGUAACAGUGCCGGUGAAAGGGCCGGGCUGUUACAAUUUGUUUAAGUCUUAGAUGAGGGCUGUGAAUGAGCAUAAGGCAUAUAGAAGCUCAGUGAAAAUAAUGACAAGAUAUGAGAAAAUAUUUUAUUGAAGUCAUAAAAGGUUACAUAGGAGGAAGGAUAUCUUCAGGUUCCUCCGCUCGAGUCUCUAUUACAUUAGCAUUAUCUACAUUUGUUACAUUAUCUAUAGAGACUCGGUCGUGGGGACUACCCUUAGUUUGUCCCUUACCCUCUUCUAUCUCAUCUCCCCCCUCCUUCGAGAAGAUGUCGUUUAUCCAAAUAAAGUCUUUAAAAGAAAAUCGUUUCACUAGCUCCUUCUUUACUGAGUCUUGAUCUUACAUGAAUAUUUCCCUACCUUAGGCCACCAUCUCCCAAAGCUCUACCUCAAGCUCGAUAAUCCUAGAAGAGGCAACUUGGGCCUCCUCAGCUUAAACCUGUAGCUCUAGGACUUGGCGAUGCAAUAGGGCCACCUAGUCCUCGGUAGUCUUCGCAUGAUUCUCAAGGACCAGCUUGGAAGCAUUAGCCUCAUUCAACUUAGCUUGGAGCUUAUCCACUGACUCUAGAGUCUCCUUCAUGGUGCCCUCCACUUUGUCAAUCCGAGUUUUCAACCUCAAGCAUUCCUCGACCAAGAGCCUUUCUAUUCGUCUCUUGAGUGCCAAACUUUCGCCUUAGGGCUUUAUGGAGAUCCUUGGCCAUAUAAGCAUAGAGGACACUCUCUAGAGCAAAGUACAUGACGUUAUCAAAAAGAUCGUUUGUCUUGAGCUCGUUUAGGCAAUGGUGAUCCGCGGGUCUCACUGCACUCUUAAUUAACGGGACAGUGAGGGUAGGAUCAUCAAGGAGUGAGGGCACCCGGUUUAGCACCAAUGCCAUGCACUGGAUGCUUGGAGGCCAUGAAGUUUCAACCCUAACACUCACAAGAGCAAGUUCAGAAGAAGGGGGGACAACAACAAGAAGCUCGAAAGCUAGGGCAGAAGCAAAAGUGCCCAGGGAAGAAGACUCAAAUUGUAAAUGGGCCGACUCUUCUACUGUAGGUUGGGUCGGGGGAGGAGGAAACAUGGUCACUUCUCUUGCUGGGCAUGCACGUUUAGCAGAGGGACUAGUAACCCUAGCAACAGCCUUACCUUUGCGGGCAACAUGCGUCGCUUCAGCAAAUUUGCUCUUCAAACCAGCCAUAUUGCAAAAAUUUCAAAGUAAGUAAGUAAAGUAGUUCGAAACCUAAAAUAAGAUAGAAAGAAAAAGUACUUUGAUCUCUAGCCAAAGAGGUGCUUUCCUCAAUGCUGGGAAGGCUUGGUAGGUGAGAACCCUGAGUUUGGCUUUCUUGCAAACGACUCUAUGAAGACAAAAUGGCAUUUCUCACUGCAUGCGUAGUGUCCAUUUUCUUUGGGGACUUAGCCUUCAUCAAUAGAAAGGCUAAAGCCUAGUCCUCAUCCCUCCUCGAACGGGCUCCAUCCUUCCUUAGCUUUACCUAAAAGUGUCAGCUUGCUUCAAGGUGCCCAAAAGCUCUAGGCAUCCGGUGACGAAGGAUGAAAAACUUAUUUUUCCACAGCUUCAAUGAAGAAGGUAUCUAGUGAAAGAUGGUCAGGUGUUUUCGCCCGCUAAAAUACCAAAAUUCUUCACUUUUGCGAGUAUCCAGCUGGUAUCGUUAGGAGAAGAGGGCUACUCUCGGUUUAGUGUUGUUAUUAAGGCAAACGAACUGGAAGGCCACCAAGAUUCUCCAAAUAUUGGGGUGCGACUGGGUAACCAAAAGCUUAUGGAACCGAAGAACGUCAAUAAAAAAUAGGUCCAUGGAGAACCGAAGGCCCACCUUUAGCUGCUCCACGAAAACCAUAAUAGUAUCCUCUGCAGGAAUCAAAUCAUUCACACAGACGUGUGGAGAAGGGGCAAAGACAUGAAAGGACUCUCGAGAGAUUUAGUAGGUAUCAUAAAAGUGUUCUACAUCUUGCUCCGUAGGACAGAAGGGAUGUCACUAAUAGAGCUACUCUCACUUUCUGGAGCCUCCCUCAAUGGAAUGAUAGGGGCCAGGGCACGGAUGGGGCCAUCCGAAGAGGAGCUUGAAGUAGAAACUCCUUCAGGAAUAAGAGAAGAGGAAGUAUUCUUAUAUAUUAUGAAAAGGAAAAAGGAAAUAGAAAUUACCAUAGGAAGUAUAAAUGAAAAGAAGUUGCGAUUGAGUCUUUUUGAAAGCAAAAACAUCAUAGUUGAAAGCAAAAGUGAUAUUUAGGGAAGAAGAAUGGUUCUUAUAAGAUGAUUUUUACAGCAGGCUUUAAAUGCGGUACGAGAAGCAGGUCAGUCAUCAUUGAGCGGCUAGAUAGGCGAAACAAAGUGAGCAAUAAAAAACUAAUCUUAGUAAGCCACGUGUCCUAGAUCUCGAGAACAAUUAUCUUUUUUGAAUCUGAAGAAUCGAAGACCUACUGGGGACCUCUGAUACUACAUAACAAUCGCUCAAAAUAAGGCAUGAGCUGUUACCACAAGAUAGGGCCACGUGGCAAUAAUCUGAUAAGUAGGAAAUGCGGUCCCACCCGAGAAAAGGAAGACCCAUACACUUCAAACACCCGGUUUAUCAUUAAGACGCCCUCCCCUGGAUAGGACGAGCCUUGGUAUAAAGUCACCGUUAUUAAGCACAGUACAACGUAUUCCCAUUAUGUCUGUAAUCGCGGGAUCACCGACCUAUUAGCUGAUAUCCUUUAUCAAGUAGCCAGCCAUACUAUUGUCAGAUUAUCAGAAAAUUCUAUAUUUAUCUCCACCUUCUUACAACAUAAAAGGAGAAGGAUCACAGAGGUAAAGGUACACUAUUAUCUUAUACUACUCAAAUUCUAAUCAAUUUAUUGCAUUCAUCUCAUUUUUCAGUAUACUGACUUGAGCGCCGGAGUGGCUGCCGUGGGCACCCACUACCUCCUCAUAUUCUCUUUAUUGCAGAUCUAGCAAAUCACAAUAUAAUUUUAUUUUCUAGCCACAUCACUCUCGCAAAGUACAUUGUAUUGGACUAUAUUAAUUGUGUAUUUUCAAUAAUUAUGCUUUCAAUAUUGGACUUUAUUAGAGUUGUGAAUUGAAAUAUAUAUGUAUAUAUUAUUAUUACAAUGGAUUUAUGAAAAUAUUAAAAAAAAUAAAUAGUGAUAAAUUAGCUUAAAAAAGAACAAUAAGCAACCAAAUUACAAAUACUGAUUAAAAUAACAAAAGCACUUGCUUCAAUUUAACUAUAAAGCAGUGACUAAAUAAUAAAUAUUUAACAACCAUUUAGCGUGCAUUUUAAUUUGCAAUCAAUUAACAAUUAUAAAAAAUUUUAAAAGAAAAAUUAAAAAAAAAUAUUCUAUUUCUAUUUAGCAAUCAAAUUGUGACCAUUUACUGACUAGUUUAUGACCAAAUAUCAAUGACUUAUUUACGUCAACUCUAGCGUUGAAAAUUUGUAAUGCCCAUACUUGUUUUCGCACUAGAUUAACUACUGUUGAUUCAUCACGUAUUAGUUGUUAAAUUAACAACCAAAAGACGAUUUGUCGCUAUUUUUAGUGAGUAGCCAAAUGUAGACUUUUUUUAUUACUAAUUGGUUGUUAUUUCUAAAGAGUGAUUAAUUUUUCUUAAUUUGCGAUCAAAUUUUUUAUUGUUAUUUUACUGUUUUUUUUUUAAUAAAGGACUUGUUGGCUCCUCACCCUUAGCAGAUAUCUACUAUCCAUUUUAUUUCAUAACUCAACAUCCUAAGUUUGAAAAGUGGGUAGAAGAUAAGAGUGAGCAGUAUUUGGUUCGAAUCAAAAAAAUCGACCAAAUCGAAUUGAUUUAAAAAUUCAAUUUGAUUUUUUUAUUCAUUUCGAUUCGAAUUUUAAUUUUAAAAAAUUUAAUUAUUUCGUUUGGUUUAAUUUUAGUUGAAAAAAUUAAAAAAGUUGAACUCAAUCGAUUAGUGAUAAUAGUAUAUUAUUUUUUAUAAUAUAAAGAUAUUAGACAAUAAUUAAGGUUAAAAUAUCUUAAUUAAGUUUUAAAAUAUUGUUUAGUUUUCACAAAUAUUGAAAAUUUGAAUUUUGAUAUAUUUAAUUCGAUUCGAUUUUAAAUCAAACCGAUCGAAUGUUCACCCCUAGUAUAAGAGAGGGAAGGUAUUCAACAUUCUUCUCGCCUAAUUUACUCGAAAACUAGUACUAUCCCCUACAUUGAUUCUUACAUUUUAUCUUAGUGUAUUAAUUAGAAAAUCUUUUCAUGCAUAUCCAUUUUAUUUACUUCACACACAUUCUCAUCACACAAAUUACCUUUUUACACAUACAUCUUUCAAUCUAAGCAUGCAAAGUACCUACUUAAACUAAGGUGAAAUAGUUACCAAGUUGUCCUAUAUGAACAUGUUUCUGAUUCAAUUUCAUGUCAUGGUUCAUUUAACAUUAAAGCGGGGUUUCUAAACACGCAUAAUUUCUAUGUUUAUUUUGGCCGCAUAAAGAAAAUAUAGGUCUUUUAGGUUUCUAACAUGCCACUUAAGCACUUUUUUAUGGUCAACUUACACUACCAUUUUCAUGUCAAAGUGUAAACAAAUCUUAAGCCUACAAAACCAUACCUCUAUUAUGCAUAAUUAUUUUUAGAAUUAUCAAUUGAAUAAUUUAGUUUACUAAGCUCAAUUUCAUGCAUAUUUAAGUGAUGAAAGCAAUUAAAAUCAUAUAUGAAAACAGAGAGGAAAAAGUGAUUAAAAAUAAUUAGUCAAAGACCUUGAAAAAAAGGAGGGAGGAGAAAAAAGAAUUAAAUUCCAAAAUAAUUAAUAAAAAUAAUAAUAACAAGAAUAAAACUAAACUAAUCCUAAUAUUUUAGAAGGCCUGCCUUUGUAAAAGACCAUUUAAAAUAUUUCAUUUGAGCUUCCAUUAUGGGCUCCAUGUGUCCAUCAAACCAAAAUUUGCACUUCAAGUGAUUGAAGCCUUCAGCUAUGUUGGUUCAAGGGCAAUUUGGGCUUUUCACCACCUUUUAUACUCAUUUAAUUAAAAUAAAUUAUCAAGACAAAAUAAAAUAAUGAUGAACCAAAAAUAAAUUAAAAUAAAAAUUUAGAAAUUAAAUAACUAAAUAUUUUUUUUUUAAAUGGAGAUCGAGAAUUAGAGAAGUAAAAUCCGAGACCUUUUAAAUUUACUCAGAUCUAUUUACCAUAGUAAGCCUAUGAAUGCUAAAUAACUAAACAUUGGAUCUGAAAAUUUAAAUUAAAGCAGAAUCCUAAGAAGAAAGGAGCUCUAUUGAGAUCAGAAUUCCAUUUUAUAUGAAAAUUUGCCUAUCAGAUGGAGUCUUAUCCACCUUCUUACUCAUGUUUUAAUAUUAAAACAUAUAUUAAUUUGAUAAAAAAUGAUUAAAUAUAGAAAAUUAAACAAAAACAAUUAAUGAACACAAAACAAGGAAAAUUAAGCGUACUGAAAAUCUACAUCUGAUUCUAGCAAAUUCAGACACCAAAAAGAAAAAUUAUAGGAAAUAUAGAAAAAAACUUAGAAAAUUAUAAAAUUUUAUAGAGACAUGCUACUAAUAUAGAUUAAAACAACCAAAAAAAUUAUCUAAAAAAGGAUAUAUCAUUUUUGAGAUAUUGCUAUUGUAAUAUGAUCAUCAUAGAACUUGAUAGAUUCUGCAAACCGAUUUGUAAGACAAUAUGGCAAUAAGUUAGAAGUUAGAACAUAAAAAACUAAAAGCAUGAAAGAUUUGGAUGACUUCUCAAACUCCAUUUUAGGUUCAAGAAUUACCCAAAAAUAUCAAGAAAUAGAGAUAUUACUCCUCAAAUUCGCAGUACUAUUUGAGAAUACCUAGAAAUACUUAAUUGUUUCAAUAUAAUUUAAAAAUACAAAUCUUAUUCAAGAAAUCUCCAAAUUAAAUAUCUAAUGUGUGAAAAUUGCACAGGUUUUCAUGAAAUCCAAUAAAAAAAUAUUUAAAGAAUCAAAAUUUCCUAUAAUCCAGAUCAAUUUUCAAAUAACAGUAUAUUUCUCUUUUGAAGAUACACAAAAUGUAUGUUGCCCUCAAGAUAAUAUUCAAAAACGAUCUAAUGCAUCAAAAUUAAUCCAUGAACAUGUAAAGAGUUUUUUUGCCAUAUCUAAACUAAGAAAAGAAAGAAUUACCUUUAGAAGAAGAAGGAAAAAAAAAAAGAAAAAGAAAACAACACCUAGGAAGAGAGGACGAACGAUGAUGGCACUAUAGUGGCGCAAGGGAUGUGCUCUUAAUUCUUUUUCCUUCAAUGGCAAAAGGAAAAAUUCAGAGCAUGCUUGUGGAGAGGUGUCCGACUGUCAAUAUUCUUUUUUAGUGAUUAAUGAAUUAAUGAUUAGGGUUUAGGAAAUAUAGUUUUAUAGUGGUUUGAAUGGAUUAGUGUUUGCAUGGGGGAAAGAAGUCUUACUCCCUCUUAUUAUGCAUGGCUGCUUAGGCGUUCAAAAUGGAUUGAUUUGGCUUGCUUUUUGGUUCAAUUUUGCACUCUUGUCCAUCUCCUAAGAGUGUCGCCUAUAAGUUCAAAUAAUUAUAAUAUUUCUACCAUACUAAGACCUCUAAUGGCGCAUUCAGCUACUCUUUGGUUUUUCAAGCCUACUUCUCUAAUAUACAAUUUAUCCUUAUGAAGCCUAGAAAAGGAAGAGAAAAUACUAUUUUGUCCCUAGGCUCAUUUUUUUGUCUUUUCAAUUUUAUUUUUAUUCCAUUUUUAAUUUUUAAUUUUUUAUUUUAUUUUCUUAUGUCAUAAGAUACUCUUUUAAUGCUCUAAAAUUUAAUGUAAAAUGAAUUAGAAAUAUGAUGUGAUCAUUAUUGGACUCUUAUUAAUUCAGAUGUACAUGUAUUCAAGAGUAUGAAAAUUAGGGUCUACUGUUAGUGUGUGCCCUAGACCAUUAAUUUGAACCUUUAUAUUACUCAUUUUAUUAUUAAUAAAGAGGUUCAUCAUUAUUAUUGUUUGCAUAUUACAUAAUAAUGAUUUACAUCCUUGAUUCUUAUUAUUAUAGAGAUAAUAAUAUAUAUAACUAGUAUGCAUAUUGAUUGAUGAUUAUGAGAUGAUUAUGUGUAUUGUUAUGCAAAUCAAUAUCAUAGAUGCUUGUUAGAUAACAAAGUAUUGGAUAAACUCACACUGAGAUCACUAUAUGGAUUAGUGUUAUUAGUGAAUCUCAUAAUAGUUAUGAAUUAAUUUUUGGAUUUGAGAUUUUCAUAGUUUUCAACAUAAUGACUAUUAUAUUUUGACACAAUUAAAUGUUGUCUGUAAUUGGAUAAUUAUAAAAGUUAUGAUCGGGCAUGAUAGAAAUUAUAUAUAGGAUAUUGAACAAUCAAAAUAGAAUUUGUUCUUAUCUCUGAGUGAAAUAUCUUAUGGACCCCUCGAUAAGUCAGACCGAGAAAUGUAUGACCGUGCUCAAAUGAAUUGAUAGUGUGAUUAAUGACAUUUGAUUUUAUAGUCUACUUAGAGUUCGAGUAAUUAUAAGUUUGAACAUGACUUAUGUUCAAAUUAGAUAUCGUGUGACAAAGGAAUUAAUGCAUGUUCUGUUAUAUGGAUUUAAUUGGACAAUCAAUUCUCAUAUUAAUUGGGUAGUUAUAAUAUCUUAUUAGAGGCCACUUAUAACUUGUAGGUUUUAAUAAAGAUUGGGCCUACUGUCAAUUAAUGUGGGCCUAUCGGGUCAUAUACAAAGAAUACAUUAUUGGACUAAGCAUUAUUAAUGGACUUGAUGUCUAUUAAUCUGAUAUUAAUAAUAAUAUUAAUCUUUAUUAUUAUUAGAUAAUAAUAAUAUUAUUAAUAAACUAAUCUGUAUUUGAUAUGGAUUGGGAUAUCAACCGUUUCUUUCUCUAUUCAUUAGAAUUGAAUAAAUAUAUCAGCAUCUAUUUUUUGUUAGAUCAUAUGAAACAAAAACACAUUCUUUAAAAUAAAGAGAGAAUUAAGAAUUCAUGUACAAUUUUUUCUUCUGAGAGAAAAGGGAAAUAGAGUAGCCCUAGCCUUUUUUUCAAGAGCUAGCGCUCUAGAUAGCAAACAUUCGUGUGGAUACCAGCAGAGAGUGUUCGCAAGAAGUAACACCUAAAGUCCACUGAAUAUUUUGAAUAAAGCUUCUAAAAGGUUAGAAUUUGAAUCCUUCUUUUCUAAUUAAAUGGAUCAUUUGGCUCCUGGUAGGUAAUUUAGAGAUCAAAUUUUUGUUUCGCUGCGUAUUUUGAUUUGCUACGAUCUUUGGAUGAACUAACAACUGUUUGCCCAACUUCGGUGCAGGAUGAAUGAUAUUCAAGAUUCAUUAAAGUACUUUUGACAUAAAAUGAGAUUUGUGCUCACCGCCUUAUAUGGCUCGCUAAAUUUUCUUGAACAAAGGCAGAACUUGUGCAACAAAAAUUGAGAAUUAUGAUUGGUGAUUGUGAUUGUGUUUUCAAAGUUUGCACCAUGUUUUUCCAGGCUACCUACAUAUCUUCACUUUGGGAGGAUGAAUCAAACUCUCAUGUAGUUUAAAAAGCUUCAGGGUGUGUUUUGUAUCCUAAUGUAGAAAACAAAGUGACUUUGAGAUUUUGUGAUUUUGGGACUUCAUACCCAAAUUUACCCGGGCUACGUACGCAUGUUCCCUUUAAGAGGCAAAAUCAGACCCCACAUAGUUUAAAGCACUUUAGGGUGUACUUUGUACCCUAAAACUAUGAAAGAUGCAACAUGUGAUUUUUGAAGCAAAUUUAAAGGAUGCACUUUAUACCCUAGAGACUUCUAUGAGACGUAGGACGUGCUUUGUAUUUUAGAGACUUUUGAAAACCUUUCCAUGCUUGAUCAAGACUCAAUCAUUCAUUAUUUGCUCACUCUAGCAUAUCUUCAAAAUUCAUUCUUUUGGUCAUGCUUUCUCAAGCAUAUGUUCAAAGUUCAAACUUGCAUCCAUGCUCGCUUAAGCAUAUUUUAUAUUUCAUUCUUUUGUCUAUGCUUGCUCAAGCAUGUAUGAUUGCUCUAUCAUAUUUCUUAAUUCUUUCUUUUGUCCAUGCUUACACAUGCUUGCUCAAGCAUAUUUCUAAUUCUAUGCUUGCUCAAGCAUAUUUCCAAAACCCAAUUUAUUAUUCGCACUCGCUCAAGCAUUUCUUCAAUUCAUUAUGUUAUUUCAUGCUUGUUCAAGAAUAUUUUCAAAUUGAUUUUUUAUAUGUUUGCUUGCUCAAGCAUAUUUCUAAUCUCUUUUUAUUGUAUAUGCUUGCUAAAGCAUGCAGUAAAUCUAUUCUUGCAUUGAUGCUUGCUUAUGCAUCUCUUCAAACUCAUUUCCAUUCUUACUCAAGAAUUUUUCCAAUCUUUGAUUCAAUCAUAUUGUGGGGAUAGAAUUUUUUUUUUCUUGUAUAUAAUGAAAUGUGAUGAAUUCAAAUGCAUAAAUGCAAGCUCUAAAUCCAAAUUGAAAGUCAUAUAUCUUCUCCUUUAAUUGACAAAUGUCUCAUCAUCAAUAUUUGAAGCACAAUACGAACUACUUGUCCCCCUAUAGAUGGCAUUUUCUCUUGAUAUUUUUCUCUCUUUUUUCCUCUCUUUUCUUUUUCUUUUUCUCUUAUCUCUCUUAUUCUCUCUUUUCUCAAAGGACCAUGCUAAAAAAUUGAAUGAAGACACCCUCUUUGGUGUUAACCAAAUGCAUAUGAGAAGCUUUUCUUAAACCAUCACUCUUAAUUAUUGAUCUUUCAAGCUAUAUAGACGAUAUCAAAGAUGAUGCUACCUAGUAACUGUAUCAUUUGUCCUCUUCUUUUGUAGGUUUAUGUUUUUUUUUUUUCUCUAACUUGUUUCGAAUCCGCCCUUUGUAGGUUUUUAACUUAGUAGUCAUUUCUUUUUUUUCUUUCUUUCUUUUUUUCUUUUUCCUUCUUCUCUUUCUUUUGUUACUCUAAUUUUGGCCUAAGUCGUCCUUGUGAGUUUUCAACUCAACGAGCUUCUCUUUUUUUUUUUUUUCAUUUCUUUCUUUUCUAUGUCAUGACUGCAAGAGAAGUUGACACUUCUAGCUGCCCCAAGUAAGAUCAUUUCUUUGAUCUAAGACUUACGAUUCGAGGUGCUUCGAUGUAGAAAAUGCAAAACAGAAAAUGCAUAUUCACUUUCACCCAUUCCUAAGACAUCAUAUCCUUUGGGGACAUAUACAAAUAUUGAUAACCAAAUCAAAUGCCACUUUUAUAAAAGUAAUGAAUUAUCCUCAUUAAUUUAGUUACACCAUUACACCCAUUGUGUAUUACAUUUGAUUACAACUUAAUUUUCUAAAGUCUGAUGGAACUCAUAACAUGUCGAAUGUACCUUUCAAGCUUUUCAUUUAAAUUUUCUCUCACUCUCCUUUUUCCUAGACCACACUUUUAAGGAUUUUCAAUCUAGUAAAAUUAUUUUUUCUCUUAAUUUUUUUUUCUUUUUUCCUUAUCCCUAACUUUUGUCUAGGUUGUACUUUAUGGAUAUUCAUCCUAGUGGGCUUUCUCUCAAAUAAAACACUUUUAGUAUGUUCAAAUUUACUAAUCCUUUGAAGUCAUAAAUGUUAAUUUUCACCAUUCUUGAUAUUUUCCUUGGGUAAGGUUUGUUGUAUCGUAUGAAGUCUACCUCAGUUAUCCUAAAUCUGAUCCUUGAUUGAGAAAGAUGGGUUAAGCCCAUUCUGACAUCACAUUUUGACUCAUUAUCAUCCAUCAUAGUAGCAACAUCCACCAAGAGAUUGCCCUCCAUCCAUAUCAGUUCCACUAUCAUGUUCGAUGCAGACUAUGCCCAUCUUGAAUGAGUCAAUCUUUUUUUUUUUUUCUUUCUUUUUUGUUGAUCCUUUUUUUCCUUUUUUUUCUAUUCUCUUUUUUCUUUUGCUUUCCUUCACUGGAGAAGUUUUUUUUUUUUUUAAGACCGAUGCCUUUUAGACUUCUACAUCUUUUUCAAGUAAGGCUUUGCUUCCUUUUCUUAACAAACUUCAUUCUUCAAUCUACAGGCUUCUCAUAAAGGACAAUAGCUCCAUCCAUCUUAGACAGGGAGAAUAUUUUAAGUGCCUCAUUAUUUUUUAAUAUUAUGAGUUUUUUUUUCUUUCUUUUCAAGCUAAACAUGCAAUCAAGUUUUAUUCCAUAGGUGUACCUAAGUUAAUUGAAGAUAAAAUUUAAUACAUUAAUGAAAGUAGAUCUAAAUGACUAUGAAUAACAUGCAUUUGACCUUUAAGAUAGCAAAAAUACAAGUAAAAGUGAAAUACAUCAAACUUAUUCCUAGGCAUGCCCCAAGUUUGUUGCACGAAUUUAUCUUCAUCUUCUUAGGCCUUAGAGUCUUCAAGUGGGCCUUUAUUCUAGGUCCGCUAUUUUCUUUGCAUCAAUGAGGUCUUGGAUCUCAUCAUAAAGAAGUAUAUACUUAUUCCUGUCAUGGUUAGGAAUUUGAUAGAACUCACAAAAUAAUUGUCUUAAAAUUCUCAAACAAUGGAUUUAAUAGUGGAGCCAUCCGAGGUUGAAGUAGCUGUUUGUUCCUCAAUCUAGCAAGGUUGCUGCCAUAGGUUCACUUAACUUAGAGGAUCUUCUUGCAACUUGAAUUCUAGUGGAAACCUUAUCAUAGUGGAGACUCCUUUCAGUAUGUGUUGACCAAUUAAAGGGAUUGAGUCUAGUAGCUCUAUCAUUCAUCUUGUCUUCUUCUUCCACCCCAAUAUGAAACAAGUCCUCAAAAUUGGAGGUCGAAAAAUAAUAUAUCUUCUCAUGGUAAACUGGUAACAAAUUCUUAAUCAACGUUCUAAUUCGCUCCUUCUUUAUUGAUCAUUGAACCAUGAAUGCUACUUUCUUCCUUCAACACAUUAAGAACUCAACAAAUGGCUCAUCAAGCCUUUGCUUGGUGGCCUCCAAUUACCUUUAUGUAUACUAUCCAAUUAAUGCCUCAAUCAAGUUGUCCUAAUCUUUUCUAACUUCCUUUCUUAGAUUGUAGUACCAUGACACAAUAGCUACUUCUAAUGAUGGAAGGAAAAGUUUUAGUGAUUUGGUCAUCCCCUAAUGUUAUUUUCUUCAUGAUGAGCAUAUACUACUUCAUGUGGACAAUUGAAUCCCAAAGCCCAUCAAACUUGGGUAAAGAUGAUAUCUCAAACUUACUUGGCAGAUGUAUUUGCAUCUGGAGUCCCAAAUCCUCCAUGUCCUCUAUACUUUAAAGCUUGCGUUGAUUCAUAAACUCUGGUUCAACCUUCUCCAUCUUCUCCAUUGACCUUAUUGGUUACCUUCUCCCUUGAAUGACCUUUCCAUCACUUUUUUAUCCUCUUUCCUCUUUUAAAGGUCUUUUGGAUCUUGCAUCUUCCCUUAUUAGUUGCUUCUCAUAUGCUCUCUCCAUCCUGCUACUGAGGGCUUCUCAAGUAGUUCAUUAAUCAUAGCCUUAGUCUCUUCCCUCUCAGACAUUUCAAGCAGACCUAAUCUAACACAACAGUCCUUAUCAGCUUAGUCUUCAACAACUUGUUGCCAUCUCUAUUGGAACUGACUGUGAUAGGAGGCACUCUUUUGGAGAUGUAAUGGUUGUACAACACAAAGAGAUGGUAUGAUGUAUGAGUUAGAGUUAUGCAUGAAUGAACCUUUUAUUACUUGAUUGGACAUUGAUUAGAAAAAAUCAUGCUUAGAUUUUCUAACUGUAUGCACAAGAAUACGAUAAAAUGGAGUGAAAGAUAAAAGGAACUCAAUUUUUAUUGAUAGAAAAUUUUUUUAUUACAAACUGAGCUCUAAUGACCUUUGAUCUAAAUUUUUACAAAGUUCAUAUCCAUUCAAACGAAUAUCUUUUAGAGGAGAAGGGAGAUGUAUUUAAUCUUGUCAUUUUCAUCUUUGGGCAAGCUGAGCUUACCACCAUCAAGAAGAUCUUGAAUUUCAUGCUUCAAUCUAUAGCAAUUGUUAGUAUCAUGCCCAACUGUCUGGUGGAAUUAGCAGAAUACGUUGACAUUAAAAUUGGCUGGCAGAGGGUUUGGCAAUAACCUAGGUGCCAAGGGUUACAGCAGAUCUUUCUCUUGUGGGCUUCUCGAGCUAUCUUGUUAAGGGAUGCAGCUGAGUUCAUCGCCUUUUUCGACCUCCUUUUUAGUAUGAGGAACUAAGUAUCAAGCUCCAUAUUAUCCAUUAACAUCUUACACUCAUGAUCUCUGACCUUUAUUCUCUUAGCAUCCAAUUCUUAAAAAGCCUUGCAUAAUUCCUUCAUCUUUUAGGUAUUCCCUCCUCUUGACGUGACUUUCUAACCUUUGUGCAACCAAGUGGGUAAAAGGUUAAUGUCAUGUUAUGAGUAUACAUGAGUAUGUAUGAGUGUUCAUGAUGGUGAACUUUCAAAACUUUUUCUUUCUUUUUUUUUGGUUCCAUAUUAAAGAAACUAAGUGAACUAGGAUCAGUUAAGGCUGAAGAACCAAAGAAAUGCAAUCGCCUUCCUUAUCCCUCUAAUACUCACAUAUAAUAAGUAUAGAUAUCUUUAAUAUGCUAACACUUCAUAUUCCUAUGGCUCAUUGGUACAUUGGGCUUGUAUCAGUAGGGGAUUAUACCCUAGGAUGGUUUCUCUCCACUCAAUAAACAAUGACUACUUAACCUGAAAGUUGAAAAUAUAAGUAGGCUCAGUAACAUUCUAAAUUUUCUGGGUAAUGAAUAGUGUUAUCCCAAGUAGCAAAUAGUGCCACCCAAGAUUUUACUGGUACUUUUCUAUCUGUUGAUAAUAAUAGUCAAGAGAAUCUUAAGGAUUUAAUUUGAGGUUAAAAUAAAUUGAUAUGAUGAGUGAAAAACUCAAAAUAAAAAUUAGGGCACUGGAAUUAAUUGGUAUUUAAAAAAAAGAUAUAUAGAAACUCUUAAAAGAAAAUUUGAUUUGGGUAAAAAAAUCUAAAAUAGAGAUAAAAUUUUCUUAGACACAAAUUAAUAAUAUAUGUAAGGAUAAAAUUUUCUUAAACAUAAAUUAAUAAUAUAUGUAAGGAAAUAAUAGAGAAAUAAAAAAAUUUUAGUAAAAUAAAAUAAAUGUAACAAUACUAAUGAGAUAAAAUAAUAAGAAAAUGGUGAUGGAAUAAUAGAUUUAAGGGUACGUGUAUUUCUUUUUAAAAAAAAAAAAAAAAAAAGAGAUUGAAUUUAAACUUUCAUAUCAAAUAGUAGCUUUUUUAAUCUCAACUCUUAAAUCCUUUUAAAAGAGAUAAAAUUUAGAGCAAAGGACAAAAAUCCCCCUCCUUUCUUACUUAUUGGUCGAACCUCUCUUUGCCAUAGAGAAAAAAAAAUUUUCUCCUCCUUCCAAUCAUCUUGCACCAAAAUUUAUCUUAAAUCAAUUUCUCUCUUCAUCCAAAGUCACUCCUAAGUUAGACAUAGAAGAAAGAAGAUAAGGAAUCAAGAAAUUGUGAGUUGGAAGGUAAAUGAAUAGUAAAUUUCUAGUGAGAGAAAAUUAGAAAAAAACUUAAAAAUGAUUUAAGAAAACUUCUUCUUUCUUCUUUCUUACAAUUUAAAUAAUGGGUUUUUAAAUUAAUAAUUUGUUUUCUUUUAUUUUGUAUCUUUAUUCCAAAAAUCAAAGAAAUUUAGGUGUUAGGUAUUCUAAAGGAAAGAGAAGGCGACUAGAAGGAGGAAGAUUUUGGGCAUCUUUUUGGAGAAAUUUAAGGCAAGUAUCUCAACCUCUCUAAUUUCUUUAAUUUAUUCUUUAAUGAUUGAAUAAGAUUUAGGGCUUUUGCGUUAUGAACUUGAUGUUAUUAAAUUGAUGUUUGUAUAAUGUUGUUGGAAUAUAUAAUGUUAUAAAUAAAUGCUUGGUUGUGAUGGAACACAUUUUAAGAGCAAAAGCUUGACUGGGGUGAAAUUCUUAAAUGAAAUUUUAGGGCUAUAUGUGUUAUAAAUAUGAUUUUGCCAAAUUAAGGUUGAAAUGAAGUUGUUGGGUUAUUAAAUAUGGUGAACAAAAGUCCUCCAAGAGUGGGAGAAUAUGAAGAUAUUUAAAUGAUGUAAAAAUUUAUUAUUAUUAUAGUAUGUUGAAAUUAAAUAACUUGGGAGUUUCAAAUAGAAUUCAUGCAAUGUAUUAGUAUAUAGACAUAUACUUUAUCUUGUGAAUUAAUUGAUUGUUGGGGAAAAAAGCGAGAGAAGUGAGAGCUGACUUGGGUGAACUAAUUUUUCAACUCAUUCUAUAUGGCUUGAAGGGCCUAUACAAGAUUUGGGAAAUAAUUUGGGUACAUGGGAUAGGCAAUAACGGUAUGUUAUUAAGGACAAAGUUGAAAAAUAAUAAGUUGAGAAUUGAGGAAAAUAAUUGAGAUACAACAAUAGUUCGGCUAUCAAGCCUUACUAAUAUAGCAAAUUGUUUAGCUUAAUUGUCCGUUGGAUUUGGUCUUCAAAUCCUACAAUAUUAACUUUAAACCCUAUAACCUAGGUCUUCGGACCCUACCAUGUAGGACUUCAAGCCUUAGAGACAUGACAAUUUUGACCUACCAUUUGGCAUUUUGCACCCUAUAGAAUUUUCGCUUAAUGACAUUUAGCUUGUACCUAACAUGUUCUUAAUAGUUAAAUAAGUUUGUGAAAAAAUUUCCACUUAAAUAGAUGAAGUUUUCGCUUAAUGACAUUUAGUUUGUACCUAACAUUUUCUUAAUAGUUAAAUAAGUUUGUAAAAAAGUUUCCACUUAAAUAGAUGAAGUGUUGUGAUACAAGCUUUGCAAUAGUUACUAUGAAUUGCUUAGAUUUAUCACCUUUAAAUCAUAAGAAUAUAACUGUUAAAAAGGGAAGAGAUAUUUUAUUAUUGUAAGAAUACUUGAUUUUGAUUUUUGUGCAGUUAAUUGAGAAAAACCACUCACUUAAUGAUGCUAUGUCACUGCUCUUUUUACACUUCAUUGAUUCAUUUAACCUUGUAUUAUGUUUCCAAUAUUAUUAUUUUGAUUUUUAUUUUAUUUUAUUUGCAAACUAAUCCACUUGUAGGGAGUGUAAAAAGACCUCUUUUUGCUGUAGGACUGCAAUGAUCUACCUUAGAAUUUUUUUCAAAGUUCUAUAGGUGAAUAAAUGAACUCUUAGUUUGGGAUCAUCAUAUUAUUUGUAAACACCUUAUAAUGGCAUGUACACAUAAAUUUCUUUUUGGAUUGUAAGCAUAUUUUUUGAAAAUGAUAAUGAAAAAUUGUGUAGGAAUAGGAAACUUGUUAUAACUAAAUUUCUUUUUACAAAAUGAAUUAUGUAUUGAACUAUGGGAAUGAAGUUGGCAUGUUGGGUUUACUCGAAAAUUUGUUACCUAAUAAUAUAAUGGUUGAAUUCAUCAUAAGGUGAGAUAUUGGAAAAGUUGUGCUUCUAAAAUUAAAGUUGUUGAAAAAGAUGUUGCAAUUGAGCAUAUAUAUGUUGAAGUGCAGUUAAAAUUCACAGGAUAGUUUAUGUCUAAUUUAUAAGAGAAAUUCUACUGAAUUUUCAACUCAAAAAAACAAAUGUAUCAUAAAUUACUUGAGAAUCAAUCUUAAUACAGGAAUUUAUAAAAGUAAAAGUUAUAAAAUAUGAUAUCCCCAGCCUAUAUUAUCAAAUGGACUAGUAGGAGGUGUUACAUUUAGUGUUAUUAGAAACUAAUUUAUGCUUUUCUGGGAUAAUAUGUAUAUGCACAUGUACAUGCUAAUGGGAUAUGAACGAUAUAUUUGAAUUAUUGCUUACCUAGUUGUUUUAUUGGAUGUCAUUAGGAUUGUGACACGUUGUUGAUGAGGAGGUAAAGAGCCAUGUCCUUCUAAAGUUACGGUACCGGUAGAUGUGUCCAUCCCUCGUGUUGGGGGAGGAUCAGACCAAGAUGCUUUCUUCCAACAAUUGGUUGAACUAUUGAGAUGAUUUAUAGGGGCAACUUCGUAGGCUGCGGCUCCACCAACAGCACUAGUUCAAGCCCCUUAUCAACCUCUAGUGGAAAAGUAAAGAAAGUAUGAGCUAAAGAAUUUUUUAUGAAGAUAGAUGAAGAUUCCAGUUCUUUAGAACACUAGUUGAUGACGACUGAGAGAAUUCUGGAGCAGCUACAGAGUACACUAGGAGAUAGCCUGGUAUAUGUCAUCUCUUUAUCACAGGAAGAAGAAUAUGUAUGGUGGGAUAUUGUGUCCCAAAUUGUCUUCAAGGAGCGUAGGACUUGUGAGGAAAUAUGUGGGUGACCUAUUUCUGAAGGAUCAGAAGAGGGAAUUCCUACUCUUGAAGCAAGGGCAUAUGUCAGUAUUCAAAUAUGAGAGGCAUAUGUCAGUAUUCAAAUAUGAGAGAAAGUUGUAUAGCUGAGCAAGUAUGCCAAGGAAUUGAUUCCCACUAAAGAUGCUAGCUGCAAAAGGUUUGAAUAGGGACAGCACAUUGAGAGACAAGCUAUAUUGGUUAUGCAGUCUGACAAUGAUACUUCCACUUUAGAUAUGGUUGCUCUAUGACUCGCGGUUGUCGAAGCCGGUCAAAAAUAACCUCUACGGUUAUCAACAAUCUUACAACUGCAGAUAGUGGUAAAGGAUCGAAUCCACAGAGAAUUGAGUACUUAUCUAUUUUUCCCAAACAAGAUCAAUCAGAAUCAACUGAAAGCACAAUUGAAAGCAAGUAGAGCAAAAGUAAAGUGCAAUAAAGUAAAAAGGGGGGUUUUGAGAUUGAUUUGACUAACAACUAUUGAAAGCAAUUAAAACAACAAGCAAUUGAAAUAAAAGAGGAAAUCAAUAUGAGAAAAGUCUAGUUGAAGAUAUGGAUCCACUUUGGUUGUUAGGGUUGAUCAUUGAAACUUAUGUUCUUCUUGAUUGGUUCAAUAGAUUAGUUAUGGGGAUGGAAAACGCUUCUCACCACCAUGUAUCUCCUUAUGAUUAAAUCAAUUAGGGAACGUCCUCUAAUCAAUUACUAAUUAACAAAUUGCCAAGGAACGUCCUUGGGCCCUAGGCAUCAAAACAAUUGUCAAUUGCAUAAAGAAUGAGAGAGAUCCAACCCUAGCUACUCAAGCGCAUGAGAUGUUGCUAGAUCAUACAAAUCCUUAGUUUUUACACCAAGUGUUCUUAGGUCAGAAUAUUUCCAGCAAUUACGAACUAAAAAAUAUCCCAACUAAUAAUCAAUUAACUUUGCAAUCAAGAAUCAAGUGGCCAAUUUGAUCUAAACAACAAAGCAAUCUUAGAAUUAAGCACACAAUUGCAUGAAUAUUGAACAAACCAAAAGCAAACACUUUAUGUUCAAAUCUCACAACCCUUUAAACAACCUUAGUUUCAACCAAACUUCAACUAGAAUUAGGGGUUUCAGCCACUCAUGGCUGAACCAAAACAGAAAAUAGAAGAAAAGAAGAGAAGGUGAACCGGCGGCGGCAAAGGUGGAGGAGGAGCGGCGGCCGAACCUUGGAGAGGUUGGCAGAUUGAGUUCUUCAAGUCUGAAAUCUGCCACUUCUUGUCUUCAUAAGGCCUUUAAAUAAGUCUUAGGAGGUUUCCUAUGGUUUCUUGGAUGUCCAUGCAUCUUUUGGAGGUUGCCUAAAGUGCCCUUGGUCUAAUAUGUGCCUUUUAUGUGCAUUGCAAGGACUUUUUGGUCUUUUAAUUGUUGCCCAAGGUGUGUCCAAGAAGUCUUCUUCAUGCACUAAAGAGGAAGGUGGAGCCUUGUUUUGAAUUUUGAAUGUGCAUGGCAUGAAAUGGGAAACAUGUGAUCUUCAAGAUUUGGCUUCUUGAAUAAGGAAGAGGCUGUUCGGGGGGACUUUCGGCCGCCUAAGCUUAGUUUCGGGGGCUGGACUUUCGGCUCUGGAGCUGACUUUCGGCCGCCGAAGGUGCCUCCAAAGGUGGGUGACUUUCGGCUUCCGAAAGUGCUUUCGAAGGUGGUUUUUCCAGUUUUGGCACUUUUUGGCAGUUUUGAUAGCAUUUUCUCUUGAUUGUCUCCUUACACCUAAUAUCUGCAAAACAUGAUUAAAACCACAAAAUUAGGUAGAAAAUGUGUAAAUAAACAUCAAUAAGAUCAUGAUAAUAUGGACUAAAAUAUGCUCUAUCAAAUACCCCCACACUUAGCCUUUUACUUGUCCUCAAGCAAAUAAACAUAGUCAAAUAAGCUUUCUCUGCUCUAGAUCCUUAUUUCCACUUAAACUUUUACUGAAGAAACCUAUUUUGAAUCAUUGCAGUGAAGAAUAUAUGCAUGAAGAUUACUUACCUUCUUUCCUUGUUUCCCUUUGCUUACCAUGGCUAGGAUUUGUUUUCCUCAAGAGAGACCAUACAUGCACAUUAAUUUGUUAAGACUUUUUCUAGCUUUUGGAGUGACUUGCCCUUACCUUGAAGUACUUUAUUCAGGCUUUUGCACUUAGACUUUCCUUGAAAAAGUCACCAACCUUUUGACAUGAAGGUACAUAUUUGUGAUACCCACCCCCAGUUACUCAGUUGGUCACCUUUUCAAGUGGCUACUAGCUCUGUUCUUAGUCUUUUGACCAUUGGAACAGUUUUUGAUUUGUGCUUUUGAGGUCUUUGCCUUUGCUGAAUUUUCUUUCUCUCAAUGAUUUGGGCAAAUCAACACCAAUUGCUAAAACAAGUCACAUUAAGUUCAUUCACAUAACUUUCAAUUUAUUCUCUCUAAUGAGGGUCAUCAGUAUAUUUUUCACCAUGGCAAACUCAAAGAUUCAAUUCAAAAGGCAAUUCUCAAACAUGAAUACAACUCACUGCAAUUGAUUCAACAUAAGUUUAAAGAGUCAUCACAUCAAUGGGGUCAUGGAAAGAAAGACUCAUCCAACAUAGUUCAUCAGUUUGAGUAGAGCAAAACAAAAAGAAGAAGAAGGUUGUGGUUGUGUGUGUUUUAUUGAAAGCAUAAAUAACAAAAAUGAAAAAAUUUUCCUAAUGCAAGCAACUAAAGAUUAAAGCAAAAAUAAACUUAAAAGUAAAAAUUCAGAGAUAUGCACCCCCACACCUAAAUCAUGCAUUGUCCUCAAUGUAUAAGAAACAUAAAAGAACAAAGGAAACUGAGUACUCCCCUAGGUGUGGUGUGCAUAGUGCGAUCCUCUUGAUCAAGGCUCAAGUAAUUGGGGAAGGGAAAAGCGUCCCAACUGUAUUGAGCAAAAAAUGUAACACUCCUUUUGAUUUGGUCAUAACCCAUCCUACUUUUUCCAUGUACUCAUGAAGUAACAUGAUUAGCUUUUCCUUUUUCAGAUGAGGUGUGCCACUAGCCCUUAUGUUUGCAUUUUUUAGAUGAUUGGGAAGUACUUUGAACUCCAAUUCAUGUUUCUCCAUGUGUAACUGCAAUUUGGUACUGAAUUCAGGCAAAAUAAACUCUACCUUAUCCGGAGGUUUGGGAAGGCAUUGAUCCGCAUGGUCCUUUGGUUUAGGUGCUUGGAAUACCAUUUGUUCCUUGUGAGCAUGGGUUGGAUCUAUGGCUGAAUUGAUUUCAGUUUCCUCCUUCUGUGCAGGACCUACCUGAAGUGGAAGACUGAUCUGCGUUGGAAGCUGUGGUGAGAGGUUCGGCGGCCAAAAGGUGGUGGAGUUCGACGGCCGAAAGGUGGUGGUUUCAGUCUGUGCAAGGCUGAUCUGAAGAGAUGCGAUUGGAAGUGUUAUAGGACUGUCUUGCGCAAGGAGAUGGGGUCGCGCAGAUGGCGCAAGGGGUGUCUCGGAUGGGGCAAGCUCUUGUGCAACUAGCUUUUCUUCCUCAUAUCUGGCAUCUUAAAGCUCUUUUCCACUCCUCAGAGUAAUGGCACUUACGUUUUGUUUGGGAUUUGCCUCGGUUUGGGAUGGUAACUUUCCUUGAGCUUCGAGCCUGUUUAUGGAGGUGGCCAUUUGUCCCAUCUGCUGUUGCAUCAUUUGCAUAAUCUUUACUACCUCAUCAAGAGUAUUAUUGACAUUUGGAGGUGCUGGUUGAGCUUGACUUCUUUGAAAGUCUUGGUAGUCGUUAGCCUCUGCAUAACUGAAGUCUGGAUAGUCUCCCCAAUCUGGAUUGUAUGUGUGAUGGUAGGAUCAUAUUAUGGCUGUUCGUAGUAUCCUCCAAAUGCAUGUACUUGUUGGUCAUCCUCAUAAAGUGUAGGACAUUGGGAAGUUAGGUGUCCCACAUGUGCACAGAUCCUACAUGGCUGAGAUUGCUGAAUUCGUCGAGCCUGUAGAGCUAUGACAUAGCUUUCCACAAUAGAGGUUAGGUCAGGAAUUUGAGGAGGGAGAUUAUAUGUAAUUACCUCAUCCAUAAUUUAGAUCUGCGAUGGUGACUGUGCCAUUUGGUGAGGUGUUUGGCUGCUGGAGAAGGAAAGGUUCGGCGGCCGAAUGUUGAUGGGGUUCGGCGGCCGAAUGUUGGGCAAAAUGCUCGGAAGCUUGCUUUCCUAAUCUUCUGAGGCUGCGUUCAAUUUUUGGAUCAAAAGGCAGAGUGUCCCUGCGUUCAGAUCUGGUCAUGAAAGAAAAAUAAAUAAGUAAACUCAAUUCCCCGGCAACGGCGCUAAUUUUUGACUCGCGGUUGUCGAAGCCGGUCAAAAAUAACCUCUACGGUUAUCAACAAUCUUACAACUACAGAUAGUGGUAAAGGAUCGAAUCCACAGAGAAUUGAGUACUUAUCUAUUUUUCCCAAACAAGAUCAAUUAGAAUCAACCAAAAGCACAAAUGAAAGCAAGUAGAGCAAAAGUAAAGUGCAAUAAAGUAAAAAGGGGGAUUUUGAGAUUGAUUUGACUAACAACUAUUGAAAGCAAUUAAAACAGCAAGCAAUUGAAAUAAAAGAGGAAAUCAAUAUGAGAAAAGUCUAGUUGAAGAUAUGGAUCCACUUUGGUUGUUAGGCUUGGUCAUUGAAACUUAUGUUUUUCUUGAUUGGUUCAAUAGAUUAGUUAUGGGGAUGGAAAACGCUUCUCACCACCAUGUCUCUCCUUAUGAUUAAAUCAAUUAGGGAACAUCCUCUAAUCAAUUACUAAUUAACAAAUUGUCAUGGAACGUCCUUGGGCCUUAGGCAUCAAAACAAUUGUCAAUUGCAUAAAGAAUGAGAGAGAUCCAACCCUAGCUACUCAAACGCAUGAGAUGUUGCUAGAUCAUAUAAUUCCUUAGUUUUUACACCAAGUGUUCUUAGGUCAGAAUAUUUCCAGCAAUUACGGACUAAAAAAUAUCACAACUAACAAUCAAUUAACUUUACAAUCAAGAAUCAAGUGGCCAAUUUGAUCUAAACAACAAAGCAAUCUUAGAAUUAAGCACACAAUUGCAUGAAUAUUGAACAAACCAAAAGCAAACACUUUAUGUUCAGAUCUCACAACCCUUUAAACAACCUUAGUUUCAACCAAACUUCAACUAGAAUUAGGGGUUUCAGCCACUCAUGGCUGAACCAAAAUAGAAAAUAGAAGAAAAGAAGAGAAGGUGAACCGGAGGCGGCAAGGGUGGAGGAGGAGCGGCGGCCGAACCUUAGAGAGGUUGGGAGAUUGAGUUCUUCAAGUCUGAAAUCUGCCACUUCUUGUCUUCAUAAGGCCUUUAAAUAAGUCUUAGGAGGCUGCCUAGGGUUUCUUGGAUGUCCAUGCAUCUUUUGGAGGUUGCCCAAAGUACCUUUGGUCUAAUAUGUGCCUUUUAUGUGCAUUGCAAGGACUUUUUGGUCUUUUAAUUGUUGUCCAAGGUGUGUCCAAGAAGUCUUCUUCAUGCACUAAAGAGGAAGGUGGAGCCUUGUUUUGAAUUUUGAAUGUGCAUGGCAUGAAGUGGGAAACAUGUGAUCUUCAAGAUUUGGCUUCGGCCGCCUAAGCUUAGUUUUGGGGGCUGGACUUUCGGCUCUGGAGCAGACUUUCGGCUGCUGAAGGUGCCUCCAAAGGUGGGUGACUUUCGGCUUCCGAAAGUGCUUCCGAAGGUGGGUGACUUUUGGCUCUGGACGAGACUUUCGGCUUCCGAAAGUACUUCCGAAGGUGGUUUUUUCAGUUUUGGCACUUUUUGGCAGUUUUGAUGGCAUUUUCUCUUGAUUGUCUCCUUACACCUAAUAUCUGCAAAACAUGAUUAAAACCACAAAAUUAGGUAGAAAAGGUAUAAAUAAACAUCAAUAAGAUCAUAAUAAUAUGGACUAAAAUAUGCACUAUCACUCUAAGUAUAGAGAAGGCCUAGACAAACGAGUAGAAUCAAAAGCAGUGAGGAUAGCACAAGAGGGGACCACCAUAAAGGCAAUCACUAAUAUCUCAGCUAUCUAGUAAGAAAUUUAAGAAUGCUCCUCUUAAAGGGUCAUUGCAGAUGCAAAAUUUAAGAAUGCUCCUCUUAAAGGGUCAUUGUAACGACCCGAAAAUCGGACUGCUACCGGCGCUAGGAUCCAGAUCGGCAUAAGGCCGCCGGGACCCGUAGCAAGCCUGACAUGCAUCCAGUAAACCUGAUUAAUCCCAUACAUGAUCAACAACAUACAUAAAAAUUUGAACUUUUCUUUUCUUUUACCAAGCUCAACCUGUGCAUACACAUAAGCAUAUACAUAAACAUAAUAUAAACCCCACACUGGAGCUCUCAACAAAUGCUCCAAUGGGGCAUCUCAUCAUACACAAGCUUGGUAGAACAUAAACAUUAUAAAACAUAGAUCAUGUUUACAAAAGGGAUUACUAUACAACUCGGUCAAGCACAAUUUCUAAACCUCAAUUUCAAUCUCAACAUUACAAGACAUAACUAUUCGCAACAUUACAUCAUUUUACAAUUUAUCAUGUCCACACUCUAUCUAUUACAUACACAUAACUUCAUCCAUCUUGACCUCUCUGUCUAGUCCGUACCUACAACCCUGGGGGAUUAGGGAAAGGGGUGAUCUACUAGAGCCCAGUGAGCAGAAUAAUAAAACAUUUAAAAUCUCAUGUUCUCAUGUAAUGCAACACAUCACAACAAAUCACAUCAAGGAUGGUAUUGUCACCAAUAGUCCUCUACAUUCCAAAGUGCCGGGACGUAGAAUGGGUCAACCGGUCUUUCUCUUAAACAUAACAUAACAUAACAUUUCAAUGUGCCAGGGACGUAGAAUGGGUCAACCUGGACUUUCUCUUACAUAGUGCCAGGGACGUAGAAUGGGUCAACCUGGGCUUCCAUACCAUAUCAUGCCGUAACAUCAUCAUAUCAUAUGAGGACUAAAGGGUCAUCCAAUAACCAAUCCGCAUCAACAUCAUAAAAUGCAAUGCAACAUAUUCGUGAAUUCUAAUGCAAACAACCUAAAUCAUCACAUAGCAUUCAUGAUGCAUGAACAUGCUCAAAACUUUAUAAUUUAUUUGCUUUAAAACAUAAAAGGUUUAUUCUACUCACCUCAGCUAGCUCUGACAAUGACUGAAGCAGCUGAUUCACUGCUCGGGUCCUCGGUUCCUCGGGUCCGAACCUACACAGGUGGACUCAAAUGAGGGACCAAACAACUAGAACAUGACUCUAAAAACAUCCCCCAAAAACCCCCUAAAACACCUCAAAAAAAUCAUGCAAAACAUGCAAAAGAAGGCCGAACAGGGCACUUUCGGCGGCAGGUUCGGCGGCCGAAAGUCCCUCUAGAGCCGAAAGUUAGGCAGGUUCGGCGGCACCUUCGGCGGCUGAAACUCCCAGACAGAGACGAAACUCAUGCAUGUUCGGCGGUACUUUCGGCGGCCGAAACUGCCCUCCAGAGACGAAAGUCCUCUUUCGGGGGCAGGCUUUCGGCAGCCGAAAGGCUUGCCUCCCAGGCAAGUUCGGCGGCCGAAAGUCCUUCGGCUGCCGAACCUGGUUUCUGCCAAAAGGGCAGAAACUUGGUUCCUCAUGCACAGUUGCCUCCCAACCUUUUAGAUCAAGCAUACAACUCAUUCAAAACAUGAAUAGAUACAGACAUUAGCUCCUAGGGGCUUCAAACUAUCCUAAACCCCAUCUACAACACAUCAAACAAUCACAAACAUCCUACAUUGCUCAGAAACUUAACAUAACCCAUAAAACCAACCAAAACCUAAACAUGCAUUUCUACCCCAUAGAUCAACUUAAAACUUGUUUAAAACACAUAGUGAGCUCAAGAUCGGCCCUUACCUCUUGAAGAUCGAGAGGAAAACGACCCUAGCUCGGAGAUGGGAGAGAUUGAGUUUCUUGAACCUCAAAGCUCCAAAACUUGCUUUAUACUCGAAAAUCUUCAAAACAAAGUGAAAACUUGUAAAAAUCGUGAAAGAUUUGAAGGAAGAAACUCAAGAUCGGUGAGGGACGGCGGAGAGCUCACCUUGGCCGAAAAUGGGGAGAAAAACUCGCCCAUUUUCGGCUAAGGGACCCCUUUAUAGGUGGCUGGCCAGGCCACAUUCGGGAGCCGAACGUGCCUCCGCAUGCAUGUCAUGUUCGGCGGCCGAACAUAAUGUUCAGCGGCUGAACAUAAGGUUCGGCGGCCGAACCUGGACUUCCCUCACUUAGGCUUUCGGGGGCCUAAAGCCCUCCCGAAGCGCAUGCAUGUUCGGCGGCCGAACCUGGAUCUUCCUCCAAGAUUAUUUUCAUGCAAAAACUCAUUUUCUUUCUUGAUUAAAACCAUAAAACACAUUAAAACAUUUUAUGAAAACAUAGCUUUACCCUUCUAGAGGUCUCCGACACCCGAGAUUCCACCGGACGGUAGGAAUUCCGAUACCGGAGUCUAGCUGGGUAUUACAUUCUCCCCCCCUUAAGAACAUUCGUCCCCGAAUGUUCACCAAACAACACAUAGCAUGGCAUACACAUAACAUACAUACAAAGCACAUAAAAGUCACAAGAAACUAACCUUAGAAAAGAUAAGGGUAUUGCUGGAGCAUGGACUCCCUGUCUCCCAAGUGCAUUCUUCCAUAUUGUGGUGGUUCCAAAGGACUUUCACCAUCGGGAUUUCCUUGUUCCUCAACUUUCUGGUCUGGGUGUCUAUGAUCCGUACUGGCUGUUCAACAUAGGUGAGAUCUUCCUGGAUCUCCACAUCAGGCUCACUAAGAACCUUGCCCGGAUCUGACACGAACUUCCUCAAUAUGGAAACAUGGAAAACCGAAUGGAUUCUUUUCAUUGAAGCAGGUAAAUCCAGCUUGUACGACACAUUCCCAAUCUUUUGCAAGACUUCAAAGGGUCCAAUGUACCAUGGAGCCAGUUUACCUUUCUUCCCAAAGCGAACCACUCCUUUCAUAGGAGACACCUUGAGCAAUACCAAAUCCCCCUCCUGAAACUCUACUUGCCUCCUGCGGAUGUCUGCAUAACUCUUCUGUCUGCUUGCAGCAGUCUUGAUCCUCUCUCUGAUUAUGGGUACCACCCUGCUGGUGAUCUCUACUAGCUCAGGCCCUGCCAAGGCCUUUUCUCCAACCUCUUCCCAGCAAACAGGUGACCUGCACUUCCUUCCAUAUAAAGCUUCAUAUGGGCCAUCCCGAUGCUAGCAUGAUGGCUGUUAUUGUAGGCAAACUCCACCAAGGGUAGAUGCUGCCUCCAAGAACCGCCAAAAUCCAGCACACACAUUCUAAGCAUAUCCUCGAUCGUCUGGAUAGUCCUUUCUGAUUGUCCGUCCGUCUGUGGAUGGAAAGCAAUGCUAAAGUCCAACCUGGUACCCAUGGCAUUCUGCAGACUCCGCCAAAACCUGGAGGUGAACUGGGGUCCUCUAUCGGACACUAUUGAAACAGGAACCCCAUGCAGCCUGAUGAUCUCAUCAACAUACACCUGCGCCAACUUGUCCAUAGAAUAGCCACUCCUGACAGGGAUGAAGUGAGCAGAUUUGGUGAGUCUGUCCACAAUCACCCAUAUGGAGUCCAAUCUGUUGGACGCCGCUGGUAACCCCACUACGAAGUCCAUAGCUAUAUUCUCCCAUUUCCACUCUGGAAUAGGUAGCGGGUUAAGCAUUCCAGCCGGCUUCUGAUGUUCCAGCUUCACCCUCUGACACACUUCGCAGGCUGACACAAACUGUGCCACUUCUCUCUUCAUAGCUGGCCACCAAUAAACUUUCUUCAGAUCUUGAUACAUCUUGGUGGCUCCGGGGUGAACGCUGUAUCUUGCAUUAUGAGCCUCUCUCAUAAUGUCCCCUUUUAGCCCUAUGUCGUCUGGUACACACAAACGGCUCCCAAAGCGGAGGAUCUCCUUGUUGUCGAAUCUGAACUCACUAUCCUUGCCUGACUGAACCGCCCUGGCAAUCUUCACUAAUUCUGGGUCCUCAUGCUGUUUCUGAGCCACCUGCUCCAGAAACACGGGUACCACUCUCAUCUGAGCAAUCAAUGCACCUGUACCAGACAACUCCAACUGUAGACCUUCCUCAAUGAGCUUGUAAAACUCCUUCACCACUGGUCUCCUCUCCGCCGUGACGUGGGAUAGACUGCCUAGUGAUUUCCGGCUUAGGGCGUCUGCCACAACAUUCGCCUUACCCGGAUGGUACUGAAUCUUGCAAUCAUAAUCACUCAGCAGCUCUACCCAUCUUCUCUGUCUCAAGUUCAAAUCUCUUUGACUCAGGAUGUACUGCAGGCUCUUAUGAUCUGUGAAGAUCUCACAUUUAACCCCAUAGAGGUAGUGCCUCCACAUCUUAAGUGCAAAGAUUACUACUGCCAUCUCCAGGUCAUGUGUGGGGUAAUUCAACUCAUGCUUCUUCAGCUGUCUAGAAGCAUAAGCAAUCACCCUUUCAUUCUGCAUUAACACACAACCCAAUCCCACUCGGGAUGCAUCACAGAAAACUGUGAAAUCCUCAUUGCUAGCUGGCAAAGCUAACACUGGUGCUGAAGUCAACCUCUUCUUAAGCUCUUCAAAACUCUCUUCGCAUUGGUCAGUCCACACAAACUUCUGAUUCUUCCUGGUUAGUCUGGUCAGGGGAGUUGCAAUUUUUGAGAAGUCCUGAACGAACCUCCUGUAGUAACCUGCCAAACCCAAGAAACUCCUGAUCUCUGUCACUGAAGUGGGUCUAGGCCAGUUAGCCACAGCUUCUACCUUCUUGGGGUCAACCUCUAUUCCAUUUUCCGACACCACAUGCCCCAAGAAUGAAAUGCUCCUCAGCCAGAACUCACACUUGGAGAACUUGGCGUACAAGCCAUGUUCCCUCAAGGUCUGCAGAACUAACCUCAGAUGAUGGGCAUGCUCCUCUGCAUUCCUGGAAUACACUAAGAUAUCAUCUAUGAAGACAAUAACAAAGUGAUCCAGGUAUUGGCUAAACACUCUGUUCAUGAGAUCCAUGAAUGCUGCAGGGGCAUUGGUUAACCCGAACGGCAUAACAAGGAACUCAAAAUGCCCAUAUCUGGUCCUGAAAGCUGUCUUUGGCACAUCUUCCUCUCUUAUCCUCAGCUGAUGGUACCCAGAUCGCAGAUCUAUUUUGGAGAAACAACCCGCUCCUGCUAGCUGGUCGAAUAGAUCAUCGAUCCUUGGCAAUGGGUACUUGUUCUUAGUAGUGACUUUGUUGAACUGCCUGUAGUCGAUACAAAGUCUAAGGGAUCCAUCCUUCUUCUUCACAAAUAGAAUUGGAGCACCCCAAGGUGAGGUACUCGGUCGGAUGAAGCCCUUUUCUACCAGCUCUUGCAAUUGUUCUUUCAAUUCUUUCAACUCAGCUGGAGCCAUCCUGUAGGGAGGGAUAGAGAUCGAUCGGGUUCCAGGCAUCAAUUCUAUCUCGAACUCUAUCUCCCUAGCAGGUGGUAAACCUGGCAACUCGUCUGGGAAGACAUCUAAGAACUCUCUAACCACUGGCACCGAGGCGGGCUCUCAAACCUGACUGCUAAGCUCUCUCACAUGAGCCAAAUACCCCUGACAUCCCUUCCUAAGCAACCUACGAGCCUGAAGAGCUGAUAUCAGACCUCUAGGUGUACCCCUCCUGUCUCCCCUGAAGACAACCUCUGACCCAUCCUGACCUCUGAACCUGACUACCUUGUCCCUACAGUCCAAGGUAGCACCAUGGGUAGAUAACCAGUCCAUCCCUAGAAUGACGUCAAAAUCUGUCAAGUCUAGAACCACAAGGUCUGCGGAAAGGCAUCUUCCCUCAACAAAGACUGGAUUGCACUGGCAGACUGACUCUGCCACUGAUGGAUCACACUUGGGUCCACUGACCCAGAGAGGACACUCUAACCCAGAGAUCAUCAGACCCAACCUCUCUACGGCUCUCGGAGCAAUAAAAGAAUGAGAUGCACCAGGGUCCAUCAAGGCAUACACAUCUGAAUAACCAAUGACUAAGUUACCUGCCACCACGGUGUUAGAUGCAUCUGCCUCCUGCUGAGUCAUCGUGAAGAUCCGUGCUGGAGCUGAUGGACCUUCACCUCUGAAACCCGCUGAAGAAGAGGCUAACCCUCUCCCUCUGCCUCUGCCACUGGCUUGAGUCGUGGCUGGAGCUGCUGGCUGCGCUACGCUACCUGAAGCUGUCUGCUGGGACUGAGCCAUAGGUACUGUCCUAGGACACUCCCGAGCCAUGUGUCCCUCUUGCCCACAUCUGAAGCAGGAUGUUGUCCCAGCCCGGCAAACUCCCUUGUGUGGCCUACCACACUUUGCACAAACUGCAUUAUCCGCACCAGAGCUUGAGCCACUCCCUAGUCCCAGACUGGACUUGAUCUUGUUCCAAAACUUGUUCUUCUUGGGCUUCCUAGUGGUGUUACCCCACCUUUUGCUACCUGAAGCUGCUGCACUCAGAGAAGAAGAGCCUGGGGUCUUAGAACCAAAGGGCUGUGCCACUGUCUGUUUAACUGUCCCUUGAAUGAUGGCACUGGCCUCCAUCUUCCGGGCCAUAUCCACUAUGGCAUGGAAGCUCUCCCUAUCUACUGACUGGAUCAAGGAGGAAUAUCUGGAGUGGAGUUUCAUGAUAUACCUCCUUGAUCUCUUCUGGUCCGAGUCAAGAUUUUGCCCUGCAAAUGGCAACAGCUCCAAGAACCUGUCUGUGAACUCAUCUACACUCAUCUCUACUGUCUGCCUUAACUGCUCAAAUUCGAUCAUCUUCAGCUCCCUUGAACUAUCGGGGAAAGCCCGUCCUGCAAACUCGUUUUCAAACUCUUCCCAAGACAUGCUGUCCACCCUCGGGUUCACAUAAUUUUUAAACCACUCACGGGCCUUUUUGCAUUUGAGUGUGAACCCAGCCAUCUGAAUGGCUCUGCUGUCAUCAGCUCCUAUCUCAUCAGUAAUCACCUUGACUCUCUCAAGGUAUACAAACGGGUCAUCCCCUUUUUCAUACUGAGGGGCACCAAGCUUCAUGUAGUCGGUCAUCUUGACCUUGCUCCCACCAGAUGAGCUAGGCUUAGGUACUGGGGUUUCUGGAACUGUGGGUUCUGCUGGUGGAGGAGGAGGAGCAGCAUCCCCUAGGGUAGGGUUUGCUGGAUUUGGAUAGUAAGGUGGAGGUGGGUACAUGGGGUACUGUGGGUAUGGUGGGUAGUAAGAUGGGUAUGGCAUGUGAGAAGGGUAAGGAUUAAAGCUGGGGUAAUCCGAUGUACCUCCCAUCGAAUACCCGGGAUUUUGAGAAAAGGGUGGGUAGUAAGGUGGCUGAACAAAUCCCGAGGCCUGAGUGCCUCCUUGGGAUUCUCCCAUUCCCUCUUCUGACAUGCUAACUCCCAGACUGCCAUCCCUCCUCUGAUCCACAUCCAUCUCAUCCCCCAUAUCAACUGACAUUCCUCCCUGAACUGUUCCCCUUACUGAUCUGCUUCCACCCAGAUCCAAAGACCUUCUAGGGUCUCUUACUGCUCUUUCUCUGCUGGACCUACUUGACAUUGCCCUAGGCAAUGCAGGAGGACGGGCGCUCGUGCCCUCAUCCUCAGGUGGUACUCCAGUCAAUCGUGCAGAUCGACGAGUUCCUCUCAUCCUGUUUCUGAAAAACAGUACACAUUACACAAACAUUAGCAUCAUAUGGUUCAUGUGAGCACACAUGAACCCGCAUCACAUGCAUAUCAUACAAAACAUAUCAUUAAUGCACAUGCACAUUAUCAUGGCAUUUCACAUCAGCAUACAAGACAGGACUCCACAUCCUAUCCUAGUGGACAUGAUCUUUCCUAUUGUGCUUGGCCUUCUAUAACAUCUAUGAGCCCGACACUCUAGGUCCGACCAUAUGAACCUAGGGCUCUGAUACCAUUCUGUAACGACCCGAAAAUCGGACCGCUAUCGGCGCUAGGAUCCAGAUCGGCAUAGGGCCGCCGGGACCCGUAGCAAGCCUGACAUGCAUCCAGUAAACCUGAUUAAUCCCAUACAUGAUCAACAACAUACAUAAAAAUUUGAACUUUUCUUUUCUUUUACCAAGCUCAACCUGUGCAUACACAUAAGCAUAUACAUAAACAUAACAUAAACCCCACACUGGAGCUCUCAACAAAUGCUCCAAUGGGGCAUCUCAUCAUACACAAGCUUGGUAGAACAUAAACAUUAUAAAACAUAGAUCAUGUUUACAAAAGGGAUUACUAUACAACUCGGUCAAGCACAAUUUCUAAACCUCAAUUUCAAUCUCAACAUUACAAGACAUGACUAUUCGCAACAUUACAUCAUUUUACAAAUUAUCAUGUCCACACUCUAUCUAUUAUAUACACAUGACUUCAUCCAUCUUGACCUCUCUGUCUAGUCCGUACCUGCAACCCUGGGGGAUUAGGGAAAGGGGUGAGCUACUAGAGCCCAGUGAGCAGAAUAAUAAAACAUUUAAAAUCUCAUGUUCUCAUGUAAUGCAACACAUCACAACAAAUCACAUCAAGGAUGAUAUUGUCACCAAUAGUCCUCUACAUUCCAAAGUGCCGGGACGUAGAAUGGGUCAACCGGUCUUUCUCUUAAACAUAACAUAACAUAACAUUCCAAUGUGCCAGGGACGUAGAAUGGGUCAACCUGGACUUUCUCUUACAUAGUGCCAGGGACGUAGAAUGGGUCAACCUGGGCUUCCAUACCAUAUCAUGCCGUAACAUCAUCAUAUCAUAUGAGGACUAAAGGGUCAUCCAAUAACCAAUCCGCAUCAACAUCAUAAAAUGCAAUGCAACAUAUUCGUGAAUUCUAAUGCAAACAACCUAAAUCAUCACAUGGCAUUCAUGAUGCAUGAACAUGCUCAAAACUUUAUAAUUUAUUUGCUUUAAAACAUAAAAGGUUUAUUCUACUCACCUCAGCUAGCUCUGACAAUGACUGAAGCAGCUGACUCACUGCUGGGGUCCUCGGUUCCUCGGGUCCAAACCUACACAGGUGGACUCAAAUGAGGGACCAAACAACUAGAACAUGACUCUAAAAACAUCCCCCAAAAACCCCCUAAAACACCUCAAAACAAUCAUGCAAAACAUGCAAAAGAAGGCUGAACAGGGCACUUUCGGCGGCAGGUUCGGCGGCCGAAAGUCCCUCCAGAGCCGAAAGUCAGGCAGGUUCGGCGGCACCUUCGGCGGCCGAAACUCCCAGACAGAGACGAAACUCAUGCAUGUUCGGCGGUACUUUCGGCGGCCGAAACUGCCCUCCAGAGACGAAAGUCCUCUUUCGGGGGCAGGCUUUCGGCAGCCGAAAGGCUUGCCUCCCAGGCAGGUUCGGCGGCCGAAAGUCCUUCGGCUGCCGAACCUGGUUUCUGCCAAAAGGGCAGAAACUUGGUUCCUCAUGCACAGUUGCCUCCCAACCUUUUAGAUCAAGCAUACAACUCAUUCAAAACAUGCAUAGAUACAUACAUAAGCUCCUAGGGGCUUCAAACUAUCCUAAACCCCAUCUACAACACAUCAAACAAUCACAAACAUCCUACAUUGCUCAGAAACUUAACAUAACCCAUAAAACCAACCAAAACCUAAACAUGCAUUUCUACCCCAUAGAUCAACUUAAAACUUAUUUAAAACACAUAGUGAGCUCAAGAUCGGCCCUUACCUCUUGAAGAUCGAGAGGAAAACGACCCUAGCUCGGAGAUGGGAGAGAUUGAGUUUCUUGAACCUCAAAGCUCCAAAACUUGCUUUAUACUCGAAAAUCUUCAAAACAAAGUGAAAACUUGUGAAAAUCGUGAAAGAUUUGAAGGAAGAAACUCAAGAUCGGUGAGGGACGGCGGAGAGCUCACCUUGGCUGAAAAUGGGGAGAAAAACUCGCCCGUUUUCGGCUAAGGGACCCUUUAUAGGUGGCUGGCCAGGCCACUUUAGGGAGCCGAACGUGCCUCCGCAUGCAUGCCAUGUUCGGCGGCUGAACCUGGACUUCCCUCACUUAGGCUUUCGGGGGCCUAAAGCCCUCCCGAAGCGCAUGCAUGUUCGGCGGCCGAACUUGAGGUUCGGCGGCCAAACCUGGGUCUUCCUCCAAGAUUAUUUUCAUGCAAAAACUCAUUUUCUUUCUUGAUUAAAACCAUAAAACACAUUAAAACAUUUUAUGAAAACAUGGCUUUACCCUUCUAGAGGUCUCCGACACCUGAGAUUCCACCGGACGGUAGGAAUUUCGAUACCGGAGUCUAGCCGGGUAUUACAGUCAUUGUAGAUGCAAAGGACAACACAAAGAUUGAUAUAGGGUGUUAUAUUGAGGUAUAGGCAGCAGACCACAUCAAUAUCAAGUACUGAGAGCAAUGGUAAAGUGGGGACACCAGUGUGUAAACACUACCGCCAGAGGUAGGCUAGGACAUAUAGGAAGCUCAUAGGCUCUUAUUUUAGAUGUCGAUCUACAAAGCAUUUCAUAAAGGACUGCCCUUAGCCACAUAUCGCCACCAACUCCACUGUUGGAGAGACUUGCCUCUGUUGCUCAAGGGGGCAGAGGUAAAGGUAGAGCCUAGAUGAGAGGAAGUGUCAACCAAAGACAGUAGAUAGGACCAAGACCAGGGCACUAGCCAAAGCAUACACCAUCCUAAUAAGAGAGGAGAAGGAGUCCUAAUAUCGUUGUAGGUGCAUUUUCUAUUUUUGGGACUCUACUUCAUGCAUUAAUAGAUAUAGAUUCCACAUGCCCCUAUAAUAGCCUACCUUUAUGACAUGGGUUAGAUAUAUGGUAAGAGAGUCUAGAAAGUGAAAUAGCAACUACUAACCUACUCGGCCAUAAUAUUAUAGUAAAUCAAGUGUACCAAAAUUGCCUCCUAGCGAUCCAAAGAUAUGAAUUUCCAAGAAAUCUAAUGGAGUCACCUUUUUUAGAAUUCGAUGUGAUUUUAGAGAUGGACUAGUUUUCCAGGCACCAAGUAAUAGUGGAUUAUCGAAUGAAAAGAAUCAUGUUUAGAUCUUUAGAUAGGAGCGAAGUAGUGGUAGUUAGAGAAAGUCUAGAUAUCCUCUCGAAUAUUAUAUUGGCUACCAUAGCUAGGAGAUUAAUUAGGAAGGAUUGUGAAACUUAUUUGGCCUAUGUGAUAGAAUCUAGGAAGGGAAAUCCUAACAUCUAGGAAAUGCCCACAGUUUGUGACUUUCUAGCGAUUUUCUAGGAGAGUUUCCAGGAUUACCACUGGAUAGAAAAGUAGAGUACACUAUAGAGGUGAUUUUGGCUAUAGCCCCUUAUUAUAUGGCUCUCGUAGAGCUAAAAGAGUUGAAGAUUUAGCUUUAAGAGUUACUUGAUGAGGGCUUUGUUCAUCCUAAUGUUUCACCUUAGGGUGCACCCAUACUCUUUAUAAAGAAGGAAGAGUCUCUCUGGCUAUGCAUUGACAAUUGAACAAGGUGAUAGUGAAAAAUAUAUACACUUUGCCUUACAUGGAUUACUUUUUUUAUCAACUGAAAGGGUUAAAAGUGUUCUAAAAAAUAUAUUUUUGUACUACAAUUGACAGUUAAAGAGGGAGAUAUGCCAAAGACUACUUUCAUAAGUCGUUAUGGACACUACAAGUUUUUUGUAAUGUUGCUCAUGCUCACAAGUGCCCCAACUACCUUUAUAGACUAAUGAAUUUUAUUUUUCAUCCAUACUUAGAUCAAUUUUUGGUAGUGUUUAUUAAUGAUAUAUUGAUAUACUCUAAGUCUAGAAAAGAACAUGAUGAGCAUUUGAGGGUAUUUCUACAAAUUUUAAAGGAAAAGCAGUUGUAUGCCAAAUUUAGCAAAUGUGAAUUUUGGCUUAAUUAGAUAUCCUUCCUCAAUCAUAUAGUAUUCAUAAAGGGAAUUACAAUGCAUCCAAGGAAGUUUGAAGCCAUCAUAAAGUGGAAACACUAAAGAAAACUAUAGAGAUUCAGAGUUUCUUAGGAUCAACAAGAUACUACCGGCAGUUUGUAGAAGGAUUUUCCCUUAUUGUAGCACUUUUAACGAAAUUGCUUCAUAAGAAUGUAAGGUUUGAAUGGAGUUCUAAAUGCGAGAAGAGUUUUGAAAGAUUAAAGACAAUGAUCAAAGAAGCCCCCAUCCUUACUCAACUAGUGUCACGAAAGGAUUUUAUAGUGUACAGUGACACUGCUCAUAACGAUUUAGGUUGUGUACUCAUGCAAGAAGGUAAAGUAGUUUUGCCUAUGUAUAGAGACAAUUGAAAUGGCAUGAGAAGAAUUACCCCAACCAUGACUUGGAGCUCACAACUAUUAUUAGAAUCUCAAAUACUUACCAACACAAAAGGAGCUUAACCUCAGACAAAGAAGGUGUUUGGAGUUGCUUAAGAAUUACGAUUGCAUCAUCGACUAUUAUUCCAGUGAUGGGUGUCGAAGCCACUAAAAAUAACCUAUUAAAUAUCAGUAAAUAUGAAUUGUAUAUAGUAAUAAUAAGAUCAAAUCUACAGGGAAUUGAUACUAAGAAUUUUCAAACAAUUACUAGGAAAAAUAAACAAUAAAAAUAAAAAAAAAGGAGUUUUGAUAAUGAGUAAAAAUAAAAAUUAAAGUAAUUAAAAAAGCGAUAAUUAAAAGAUAAAUAAAUCAAUAUAAAUAAGUUCUAAUUGAAGUGUAAGAUCCAUUUCAGUUUGAAAAUUGAUUAUCGAUACAAAAAUACUUUUAUUCAUUUCAAUAAAUUAGUUAUAGUUAUGGAAGAUGCUCCACAUAACCAAUCUCUUCUUAGAUUUUAAAUUAAUUUAAAAAAUAUUCACUAAUUAACUCCUAGCCAAUAAAUCACCCAAAGAACGUCUUUGGGAUUUUAAUUUAUGAACUGCUUUAAGUAUUAGAGAGACUUAAUUCUAACUAACCAGCCGUAUGGAGAGUUUGAGUUAGAUUAUGCAACUUCUUAGAUGUUACACUAAUUAUUACUUGUAUUUGAAUAACCUAAGCAAUUAUGGACUUUAAGCAUUCAAACUAACAAUAUAUUACUUUGAAAUUAAGAAAAACAAGUCCUAAAUAACAAAGAAAUAAUAAUAUGUAGAACAAAAUUUGUAUAAAUAUUGAAGAAUAAAAGAUGAACAAUUGAGUUUAGAUCUCCCAAUUCAUGUAUAAACUGAAAAUUUCACCCUAACUUCAACUAGAAAUAAAAAGUUUAGCCACUCAUGGCUUUUGAAAGAAAAUAUAAAAGAGAAAAGAGAAGAUGAAGGAUCAGUGCUGGUGAGAAGAGAUCUGAUCUGCCGUUGUCCUCAAUGAUUUGGCUUUAUAUAGGUGCUUACCCCUAGCAAAGUCCUUUUGGGAAUAGAAAUUCUUCUUUGAUUUGAAUUAGAAAUCCUUUCUUUAAUGUUUUUCUUCAAGAAUAGAACUUCUUAAUUUGAGGAAGACUUGAUGUUGCAUUGAUGGAGGAGAAUUCGCGCAAGCCCAUAGCUUUUAAUGAGAAGAUCAAGUCUCUAUAUUUUCAAAUCUGGAUUUUUUUUUGCUCACUGUUCAAUUCUAUGCAAUCUAUCGAUUUGCCCAAUUGUUUUGGGCAAAUCCACUGUCUGAAAGUGUUUUACAUAGCUUGUAGGUCUAAGCAGUUCCUGACUUUUGUGUAGUACAAUCAUAUGAAAGGUUUGCCCAAAUUGGUUGGUCAUGUCAGUUUCAGUACUUUUAAGCCACUUUUCAUCAAAUCUUCUUCUCUUUUUGCUUUUCUGCAAAACAUAGCUAAAAAUAAAAAUUUAGCUAGAAAAAUACUUAAUUAAGUGCUAAGAAUAGUAUAAAAAAUGUGUGGAAAUUACGUUCAAUCAAAUAUUCCUACACUUAAACCAUGCUUGUCCUCAAGCAUUCAAAUAAUUUAGAUAAUCUACUGCACUCUUUCAUCUAGACUUUUGGAUUGAAGCACAAUAGUAUACCAACAUGCAUAUAACUAAUAAUCUCAAGAGUCACAAAACAAGCAAUAAUCCUAACAGAAUCUUUGACAUAAAUAGGAGAGUUUAAGCUAUUCACACUCAAUCACACAAAUAGUUAAGUAGUAUUCAUGGAGUAGUCACUAGACCUCACUUUAGCUAAUUCCAUUGAUAUUCAAAGCUGGUUCUUAAGUCUAAAAAUAAAGUAUCUAAGACUUUUUUAUUUAUUAUUUAUGCAUACUUAUUCAUCUCUUGCUUGGAAUGUCAUUACUCUUUUGACGCGAUGGUACAUAUUUGUGAUACCCACCUCCGAUUACUCAAUUGGUCAGAAUUUUCAAGUGGCUACUAGUACUACUUAUGGUCACUUAACCAGCAGAGUAGAUUUAUUUUGUGCCCCUUUUUUUUUCUUUGGUGCCUUGAACACUUUAUUUAUUGACAAAAGUUCCAUAAAAAUUAAAAAUUCAUUACUUUAACAAGCCCUAGUUAUACUCCACUAGUGCCUUAAUCAUGCAAGCACACACAUCUUAUUCAAGCUCAACUAUUUAUGCUUAAAGACAAUUAUUAAAAAUUAUUGCAAGCAAUAUGAAAAUCGAAACAAUCACCAAUAUAAAUACUAACAUACUGUUUAUGAUUCAAUCCAAAUUUCAAGGAGUUCAAAAGUGAGUGGAAUAGUCAAAUUGCAAUCCUAAGCCAAAAUUCUUAUUAAAUGCAUAGAAAGAAAUAAAAGGAAAUGCGUGAAAAUUGAAAAAUAAAUAAAUAAUAAAAUGAAACAUAUAUAGUUUUUCUCCCCACACUUGACCAAUACAUUACCCUCAAUGUGUGCAAAAAGCAAAAAGUGAUACAAAGAGGGUUAGAAUAAUACUCCCCCGUUCAAGUUGAUGUGGGCAAGGCAUAAGACAAAGCUAAAGUAAAUGGUGGAGGGAAAAGGAUCCCAACAUAAUUAAGUAAGAAGUGUAGCACGCCUUUUGUCUUGGUUAUCACCCAUUCUAUUUCUUCCAUGUACUCAUGAAGUAACAUGAUUAGUUUUUUUCUCUUUUAAGUGAAGUGUGCCUCCAGCCCCUAUGUUUGAAUUUUUGAGGUGACUGGGUAGUACUUUGAACUCCAAUUCAUGUUUCUUCAUAACAGGUGACUGCAGUCUGGUACUGGAUUUGGGCAAAUCAGUUCUGGGCAGUGGCAGAAUGUUGUCUAGAGCAUGAACAGUCUCUUGUAACUUUUUAUCAGCCACGAUUUGCUGAUUUAAUGGCUUUGAAUCAUACAUGUCCAUACCCCUGUAUUGAGCAUUAGUCAACUUGUCAUCAACACUUAAUUCAAAUGUAUUUUGGCUCAAAGUAUCAAGAACAUAUAUACCAUCAACAUUAGUUACAUCACUAGGAAAUUUCAAAGAAGCAUAAGCAUCAAAUUUAAUAACUUCUCUAUCAAAUUCUAUAGUGAGAGUACCAUCAUGCACAUCUAUUUUAGUUUUAGCUGUGCUAAGAAAAAGCCUACCUAACAAAAUAUCAGAUGUAAUAUUAACUUUAUCCUCUUUCAUAUCAAUGAUGUAAAAAUCUACAGGAAAAAUUAACCCAUCAACUUGGACUAUGACAUUUUCAAAAACACUCUCGAUAUACACAAUAGAUCUAUCAACAAGUUGGGUGACAACACCUGCUUUUUUUAAGAGACCAACAUUCAAUAAAUUAUAAGUAGAUAAAGGCAUGACAUUAAUUGAGGCUCCAAUAUCAAACAUAGCUGAUACAAACUAGCAAGCACAAUCACAUGAGAAUCAAGGAAGCAAGGAUCCAUUGGUGCUUCCUAGUGGACCAGCGAUAAGGAGCAAAGCUAAGAAGUUUGAAGCAGCUAUGAACUUAUACAUUCAAGAGCAAGUAACACAAGAAUUAACUGAGAUUGCCAUUGGCAAAUGUCUCGUGAAACUUUAAGACAUUGUGAUAUGCUUCCUAUUUCAUCUAUAUUGUCUUACUUAUCUCAAUUGAUGGCUGUAAUUUAUGAGAAUCAAUUUUGAAUUUUGAAUUGAGUUGAAUCCAGAUUAGGAGACAAAAGAAAUUCUGUCUAUUUUCUAAAGUACGUAUUUAAGGCUAUUGCAUCUAAAUUGAUUUGAUAUCAAAUCCUUCUUUUAAGACCAGAAAAUUUGUCCAUGAUGCUGAACUGAGUGAAAUUUAUUAUUAUUUUUUUAUUCUAUUUGUGGGAUUUUGAUACUUGCCUUUUUUAGUAGAUUUGAAUAGAUCCAUAUUUAAUUUGCUUUGAAGUGAAUUAAAUUCGAACUUUUGUCCAGGUUCAUUUUUAUUUGAAUUCUAAGUUUCUGUUUUUUUGUUUAAGCUAGCUUUUGCUUCUUGAAAUUGCUAGAGUAAUGUUUGCUUGUGUCUAUACUGUAGGUGAUAAUUUUCAAGUAGCACAAUGAUGCGGAACCCCAGCCUAUUAAAGACUGGAAUGACACAUACCCUAGUAAAAAUAACUUAGUUCAGAAAAUAAUUCCCCAAUCUAAAGCACCCUUAAUAAACAUGCAAUUAAGAACACUUAUAACUGAUUGAUUUUAAGAGCAGCAAGAAUAAGAAUUAUCAGUAGGUAUCAAUAUUAGAAUGAAGUUUCAGCAAUUGAUCCAAAGUUGCAGAAAUUGGUAUUUUUUUUUAUGGACAGAAGUAAAACACUGGAAAUACUAUUCGAAGAGUAUUAGAAUAGAAGCAUAUGAAUUAGGGCAGAAAGCACAAACUAAAUCACUUAAGAUAAUAAUUCCGCCUAAACAAGAAUUUAGGGUAAAAUUCGAUUUGAACAAAAACUAAACAAUGAAUUCGGCUCUAAUAGGUAUUCCAGAUGGAAAUAUCACAAAAAAUUGAAGAAAAUACACCAAAUAACCAAAGUGAUAUAUUUGGCCAAUAAUGAACAAAACUGAAUUCAGAGACAGAAAGGAUAGUUAAGAAAUUAUUACUAAGCCUAGCUCUAACACCAAUUGAUGCGGAACCCCAGCCUAUUAGAGACUGAAACGACACAUACCCUAGUAAAAAUAACUUAGUUAAGAAAAUAAUUUCCCAAUCUAAAGCACCCUUAAUUAACAUGCAAUUAAGAACACUUAUAACUGAUUGAUUUUAAGAGCAGCAAGAAUAAGGAUCAUAUAAGUUAGUAUCAAACCUUAUUCGUGAUGCACUGUUAAGAACCAAGAUCUCUCUUAAGCUCUCAAAGAAGAAUCGCGUAAAGCAAUUGUAUUGAAUAAUUGAUAAUCUCUAUACAAUAUGGAAAAAGAAAUGCUUUAUAUACCCUAGGGAAGUCUAGCCUAACCCAAGAUCCUUGCUACUUUCCACUACUAUGUAUGGACCCAUGAUCUAUGCCACUAUCCACUACUAUGCAUGAACCCAUGAUCUAUGCCACUAUCCACUUUUGGAUAACUACCCACUAAUGGUUAACUACCAACUGCUAAAUAACUACUCACUACUGAAUUAGUGAUGGAGAAUGUGUUAAUUCAAAUACAAAAUUUGAAUCGUCAAUAAGGACACAUUCGGCCUAAUUGACUUGGAAUGGCCAGAUUUUUCUUCAACUUCAAAAUGAACUUGCAAAGUUUCAACAUAUCCCUUCAUGAAUCCUUGAAGUGCUUCGUUCAAUCUUUUGGAUCUCAACCUUGUAAUUGGUCCUUGAGGCAAUGCUAGCUCAUCAUUUUUGGUGUUCUUGGUUGUACUUACAUCACACAAAACCUUAUUCGUGUGUUACUUUCCAAAUUAUCAGUGUUUUUUUCUAGUUUUUGUGCGCUUUCUUCUAGUUUUUGCAUGCUUCCUUCUUUCUUUAUGUUUACUUCUUUGUUUCUUUAAACGCACCUUGUGGUUGUUGAUUGACCUUAAAUUCUAAAGUGCAAUUGAAGAAUUAGCAAAAGAGUGGUAAGAUUCUUUCAUUUCUAACACCAUAUUUGCUAGUUCUCUUUGUUCUUUGUUGAUUUAAGGUAGGAUGAGUAAAGAUAAGAGUGCGGUGGAUAGUACUGAUGAAAGUGAAUUGGACAUGGGUAACUAUUAUAAGCUCUUUAAGAAGUCAGUCAGUAGUGAGUUAUAAAGGCUCAAUAAGGCUCUUGAGAGGAUGACCAAAGCUAUAGAGAGUUUGAAAGUCUCACGAGCUUCCACUUCUAUAAGAAUGGCUCAUCGAAUUCUUAACCCCGAUAGACCACAAGCCCAAGAACCUCAAGUCUGAGGUGAAGUUGAUACAGAAGAUAAUGUCGAACAAGGAAGGAGAAGAGGUGAAGUUCAUGGAAGUAAUAGAACUGGCAUUGGGUGGAAUAGAGGUGGAGAUGCUAGAUUUGGCAGAAAUGAUGAUGAGACCGAGACAUACCAAACCAACACAACUGACGGUGACUUGAGCUCCAUAAAGAUGGAAGUUCCUGAAUUUAAAGGGAAUAACAAUGUUGAAGAAUAAAUUGAAUGGGAGAGAAAAAUUGAGCAGAUAUUUGAGUGUCAUAACUAUACUGAGGAGAAGAAGUCUCAUAUCGCCGCCGUUGAGUUCAUGGGUUAUGCCUCUUUCUGGUGGGAUCAAUUGAAAUCCACUAGGAGGAAUAAGGGCUUAAGAGCAGUUUCACCAUAGAUAUACUUGAAAGAGUUGAUGUGCCAGAGAAUUCCUUCGCACUAUUAUAGGAAUUUGUACAACAGGUUGCCAAGACUGGUGCAAGGAGGGAAGAGUGUGAAAGAAUACCACAAGGAGAUGGAGAAGAUGAUGGCUCGGGCUCAUUGAUCAGACCAAAUUUAGAUCCAUUUAUCAUGUUAUUAUUAAUUUCAAUUUACACAUUUUCUAUCUAAUUCUGUGGUUUUGAUCUUAUUUUCCAGAAAACGGUGUAAAAAGGUAAUUUAGUGAAAAUGCUCUUAAAACUGCCUAAAAGAGGAUAGAGGACAACAAGCAUGUUUGCACAAGCCAAGUUGCAACUGAAGAGAAGAUAAAUAAGGAAAGUACAUUCAGCAGAGUAAUUUGAAAUUCAAAUUUCAAAUCUUCAAGAAGUCAUUCCCUUGUUGAGGAAGCCAAAUCUCAAGAAGAUGCACUUGCCUCCCAAGAAUUCAAAAUUCAAAGGAGAAUAUUCAAAAUUCAAAAUUCAAAAUUCAGCAUUCAAAAUUCAAAAUUCAAAAGAAGACUCCACCUCAACAAGGAAACCUAGGGCAACACUUUCAGCUAUAAAAGCGUCAUAUGAAGAGCCGCACGCCUCCCUUGGACUCCCACAAUCGGCAAGCAAGCCAUCCUUUCACUCCAAGCCGCCGGCCACCCUUCUUCUUCUUCUCUUUCUUUUAUUUUUUUGUUUUGUUUCAGCCAUGAGUGGCUGAAACCUCUUUUCCUAGUUGAAGAUUAGGUGAAACUUUAGUUGUUUUAUAUAUUGGGAGAUCUGAACAUACAUUGUUUAUCUUUUGUUUUUCAAUAUUUAUGCAAUUUCAUGCUUAAUUCCAUUGUUGCUUUGUUGUUUAGAUCAAUAAGGCCCAUUGAUUCUUGAUUGCAAAGUAAUAAUUUGUUAGUUUGGAUAGUUUUAAGUCUUAAUUACUUGAAUUAUUCAAACACAAGUAACUCUUGGUGUAAAAACUAAGGAAAUUGCAUGAUCUAGCAAUAUCACCAUAUGUUUGGGUAGCUAGAAUUAGGUUUCUCUAUUUCUUAAUGCAAUUGACAAUUGUUAGAUGCCAAAGGCCCAAGGACGUUCCUUGGCAACUUGUUGAUUAGUAAUUAAUUAGAGGACGUUCCCUAAUUGAUUUAUACUUGAGGGAUAUGGUGGUGAGAAGCGUCUUCCACCUCCAUAACUAAUUUAUUGAAUUAAAUAAAUGAAUCUUUAUGUCAAUUAUCAAUCCCAACAACUGAAGUGGAUCCAAUUCUUCAACUAGAGCCUUUCUAAUUAUUGAAUUUCUUUACUUUAUUAUUUGCUUUACUUUAUUGCUUUUAAUUCUAGUUCAAUUCAUCAAUCUCAAAACCCCCCCCCCUUUUAUUUUACUUUCAGUUUAUUUACUUGGUCUUGAUAAGAAAAAUAGGUAAGUGUCAAUUUCAUGUGGAUUCGAUCCUUUUGCCACUAUCUGCAGUUGUAAAAUUAUUGAUAAUCAAAAAGGUUAUUUUUGACCGGCUUCGACAACCGCACAGUCAAAAAUUGGCGCCAUUGCCGGGGAGCUGAUUUAACUAAUUUAUUGUUCUUUCAUGACUAGGGCUGGACGCAAGGAAACUCUGUCUUACGAUCCAGAAAUUGAGCAUACAAUCAAGCGACUUGGGGAAGCAAGUCACCACACUUUGGGAGCAAGCCACCACCAAAUCUGCCCCCAAGGAACCAGCAAUCGCAGAAACUGAAUCAACACCUUCUGAACUUGACCAAACAGCCGCAGAGAUGGCUGAAAACAAUGUACAACCUGCUGCACAUGCUGAACCUGCUGUCCAUGAUGAACUCAUACCAGAAAAUCCAGCAAUGAGGCCACCAAUACCAAGAGAAAGAACACUGAGAGAGUUGGCAGCCCCUAUAGGCGAUCAAGCACCUGUCUGCAUCAUCUAUCCGCCAUUGACAGUCCCUUUUGAGCUCAAAACAGGUUUGAUACACCUUUUACCUAAAUUUAGAGGUUUGGAGAAUGAAAAUCCACAUAAGCACUUGAAAGAAUUUCACAUAGUAUGUUCAUCCAUGAGGCUGCAAGGCAUAUUUGAAGAGCAUGUGAAACUGAGAGCAUUCCUAUUCUCACUUGAUUAUGUCAAAGAUUGGUUAUUUUACCUACCACCCGGAUCGAUCACUUCUUGGGAUAGUAUGGUUAGAGCUUUUCUGAACAAAUAUUUCCCAACUUAGAAAGCCAUAAGCAUAAGAAGAGAGAUAAGUGGCAUUAAGCAAAAAGAGAUUGAAGACUUGUAUGAGUAUUGGGAAAGAUUUAAAAGAUUGUGCACAAGCUGUCCUCAACAUGACAUUUCAGAUAAAUCACUCACAGAAUUCUUCUAUGGAGGUUUGCUACCAUUCGAAAGGAAAUUCAUUGAUGUAGCAUGUGGAGGUUCAAUUGAAGAUAGAACACCUCAAGCAAUUAGUGUAAUACCCGGCUAGACUCCGGUAUCGGAAUUCCUACCGUCCGGUGGAAUCUCGAAUGUCGGAAGCCUCUAGUAGGGUAGAGACAUGUUUUCAUAAAAUGUUUUAAGGUAAUUCAUGGUUUUAAGUAUGAAAAUUUAAUGAGUUUUUGCAUGAAAAGUCUUUGGAGGAAAACCCAGGUUCGGCCGCCGAAGGUCAAGUUCGGCCGCCGAACAUGCAUGCGUUUUGGAGGCACGUUAGGCCCCCGAAAGCAUGAGUGAGGGAAGUUCAGGUUCGGCCGCCGAAACCCAAGUUCGGCCGCCGAACAUGGCAUGCAUGCGGAAGCACUUUCGGCCCCCGAACGUGGCCUGGCCAGCCACUAUAAAAGGGUCACUUAGCCGAAAUGGG
rnacentral:lncRNA from 1 species